AACAACCCAAGCUGGUCAGUGGAUAAGAACACUUUUAUAUUAGACCUUCAAUUCUGGGUUACUGCAUGCUGCAAUCUUUUGUAAAAUAUUAAAUAUUAUAUUCUCAUAUAUGGAAAAUGUUAAACCCAAGACAGGCAAAUAGAUUAGCAAAAGCCACCAUGUUCAUAUCGAAACCCACAUGGAAGAAUUAAGCACUGAAAGAAGCCUUCUUAUUAAGCAGUGUCUUGCCAAAAAGGCACGACCUUACUUGAACAGGAUCUGUUCUAUAGGCUCGUACCUCUGUGUCCUUGAGUUCUAAGGAGACAGGAUAUCAAGUCUGGUGGAUGAAUCAUGACCGUGUGAUCAGAGCGUGAGUAACGGCCGUCACCGACCCUUGGGUUGUUGAGGCUGUAGAGGAUCGUUCUCAGCUGGGUUACCGGCUGGGGUGGUCACUCGGUUGUCUGACAGACUUCUAAAUCCCAUUUUGCCGGCUCUGAAUUUAGUUUUUAAUUUGAUCUCAAGACUGCUGUCAGAAUGAAUUUCAUGCUUGUUUGUACUCAUUUGCCUAUUCUUUUUCUGGUUUAUAUUUUGUGCUAAAUUUGAUAUCAAAGUUACGUUCAGGGUGAGAUGGAGCGGUGUUUCAGUAAUGGUGGAGGCAUUUUCGCUUAUGGCGGUAGGAACUUCACUAAUAGGCACUCUCUUGGGCUUCUCAGAAUUCUUCAAGGAGCAGCUUAAAAGCUUGUCAUGGAACUCUUCCCCUACAAAAACGUCUAAGGUAGGUUUGAGUCUAUUUUCCAAUUAAGUUUCAGUUCCUCUUACAUUUUGUUCCAAACCAUUAAUACCUUUGCAUAAAAGGAAUCAACAGAGUUCUUCGGGCUGAGGAACUGGUGGGGAAGAAAUAAGAUCAGCUUCACUGCAAUGGCAAUGGUUGUUACCCCGUCCCUCUUCAUCUCGACAACAGUACCCGAUGCAUUCUCCGCUGCCACAGAUAUUGCUGUAAGUUUAAGCAUACAUCAGGUAAUGAAAACUUAACAAUAUUUCAAAGUCACCCUGUUGACACAUUAAUGCAGGGGGGCUACUGUAUGACAAUGCUAUAUGGAGUUCUACCGCCAGCUAUGGCGUGGGCAGUGCACAAUCAAGAAUCCAAAGAUUCUGAUAGAAAUGAGUUAUCGAGAGCAAGACCCGUAGUUUUCGCUGUUGGAAUAUUUGCCUGUGGUAUUGUGGUGGAGCAAGUCUUGCUGGAUUUUUCUGCAUUUCACCUUUAGAAACAAUUAACCAAAGUGUUAUUACUCAUUGCAUGUUUUCUGAUAUCAAAUUGUAAAUUCAUUUAUGUUUUUCUGUGAGUUCAAUAAUAAUCUUCAAAGCUCAAACUUCUCUCGUCUUUGAACUUAGCUGGAAAAAAAUGCCAAUCUGAAGCAUUACGAUCUGGGAUGGACCGAUAGAAUCAUCAUCAAGGAAUUGAGCUGGAUAAGUAGGUCAAACUCGAAUUACAAUGAAUUUGUUGAAUUGCUCUUUAGGGAAAAAUAAUUUUGAUGUUUUUAACAUAAAAAUAAAUACGAAAUCUAAUACGUUGAAAGUGUUUAAUUUCUUUCAGACCUGAAAAUGAAGUUUACAUUAUCUGGAUUAAGGUGCCUAAAACUUUGAAAGAUUAAUGCCAUUUUGUUGCAUUGGAAUUUUUUAAAAGCUUCUUAGAAGUUGGAAAAAUGGGGGAACUCAAUGAGUUGGAAGCAGUCUCUGACAGUUAUAUGUUUGUUUGGGUGAGGUUAUGGCAGAGUACUUAGCCAGUUAGCUGCAGAAAGAAGAAAAAACAACUAAUAGUGGUGAGUGUUAAAGAAACGUUUUGUAUGAGGAUUAAGGGAAAACGACAACAUUUCUGAGCAAGAAAAGCAUGUUUCUUUUUGCUCCUUUAUCCCACAUUGGAAAAUUAAGUAAUGGAAGAAGGAUACUUAUUAAGCAUGCACGGCCAAGCAGCCACGACCUUACUUGAACAGGAUCUGUUCUAUAGGCUCGUACCUCUGUGUCCUUGAGUUCUAAGGAGACAGGAUAUCAAGUCUGGUGGAUGAGUCAUGACCGUGUGAUCAGGGCGUGAGUAACGGCUAUCAGUGACCCCUUGGGUUGCUGAGGCUGCAGAGGAUCGUUCUCGGCUGGGCUCCUCUGGCUGGGGUGGUCACACGGUUGUCUGACAGACUUCUAAUCUCUUUUAGCAGAUUCUGAUUAUGAAUUUUUUUUCCAUUUUUUUCUGCCCUAGAUUUUCUUCCGUGGCUGCUAUGCUGUGGCAAUUCUAACAAAGAUACAACUAAAUAUGCUGCAUUUGGAGCAGCAAAGUUAUGUAAAAAGAACGUUAACAAAGAAUAUCUUGAAAUCAAAACUCGAAAAAUGAAAAUGAUAACAUGUGUAAGUAUUUUGACACCGUCUAAACUCUGAAGUGAUUUCAGAUAAUAUUUUUCUCAGGAGAAAAGCAGUGAAUUCAGUUAAGUUCAUCAACGAAUUAUCUAACUUGGAGUUGUAUUGCUAACAAUUGUUUCUAUUCUAACAAAGAAGUACGAAGUGCAGAUCCUUCUGUUGUCAAUUGUCAAGGGUAUUAAACCUAAUGAAUAAAACUGGAAAAAUCACAAAAAUUCAAACAAAGUGGAUGGCAAUGAGGUGUAUCAGAUCCCACAUCGAAAGCGAGAGAGCUGGCGGUAAGUAGCUCCCCCUUACAAAAUGAAAUGCUUCUCCCCCGUUUAAACUCACGGAGCCGUGCGGUGAGCACAGAGCGAACUAUUCUUUCGCCUUUUACUAAAGAAUACCGUGUGCUCGCCGCUGAGAGCGGCAUACGCCUAUUUUUGGAGGGAUGUUUCUUCGGAAUUGCCCCCAUCAAAACUAACUGAAAACAUUUGGGAUGCUGGGAUGGUUUGCUAAGUUUCAAGUUUAAAAGAAAGAUUUUUUUAAAGAAAAAAAUUAUGGCACAGUUUAGUAACUACAGUUUGACUCCAAGACUUUUACAGAUCUAACUUUUUUUGUUACCUCUGGAACAAUGGAAGAAAGGCCAACAAUGAUUGCUUUGGCAAAAGAACUCAAGCAAAUAUAUCAAUCACUAAUGUAGAGUCGUUGGGUUGGAUUGAUGAGCUGAAUGGCGGGUUCAGUUUUCUUCUUCUCAAAUUCUGAACUUACAUAUGUCGCGAAUAUGAAUGAGAAUUUCCAAUAAUUCGAACUGUUUAUUUUAUUUAUGUUGAGGCAGAAAUUUGAUGAAAUUUUUUCCUUAAGUAUAAUAAUUAAUGGACUAAAGAAUUGCUCAAUGCAUGUUUUCCGAUAUCAAACUGUAAAGUCAUUUUGUUUAUGCCAUUAUCGAAUUCUAAAUUUAACUUUGUGAUCUCAAUUUUUUGUUGGUUCUCUUCAAAGGUAAGGUUUUUGCCAAAAUUUUCCUGCUGUCGGUUUCUGCUGUGGCUGCGAAGUUGGUGUGGGGUAUUACAUGUUUGUACUCUUUGCCUGCUUCUCACUAUGAUGCAACCUAUUUAGUACAUGCUGCAGUUUCAAAAGUUAGAUGCAUUUGUUUAGGUAGAAUAGAGGAAAACAGAGUUAACAAUAUCUAAUGUCUUUGUCACCAAAACUUUGGAAAUGAAUGCCUUCGCAAUGUGUUUUAGAAACAUUUUGACACUGUUAAAAGCCAUUUUUAGCUAUAUGCUGCAUUUUCAAUGAAUGAUCGAUCGAACUUGGAGUUCUUGGUAGCUAGUUAUUGUAAUUACACUAGUAAAGAAGUAAAUAAAUCCUCCCUGUGUCAAUGAUAUUAAUUAAGUCUAACGUAUAGAGUUGGAAAGAGCACAAAAAUUUUGAAAAGAAAAUGACCGGAAAAAGGCAAGGUGAAUCCCACAUCGAAAGCGAGUGAGCUAGCAGUAAUCACCUCCCACACACAAAAUGAGACGCUCCUUCUAUUUCUUGCUUCACGGAGCCGUGCGGUGAGCACAGAGCGAACUAUUCUUUCGCCUUUUACUAAAGAAUACCGUGUGCUCGCCGCUUUAAAGCGGCAUACGCCUAUUUUUGGAGGGGUGUUUCUCUGGAAAUGCCCCCAUCAAAUCUUUGUGCAAUCUUUUUUAAUUUUUGUAGGAGAUGGUUACAGGCUCAUUUGACUGUCUUUUGAAGCAUCACAAAUUGGCCUAUCCAUGUUAGGAUCUUAACCAUUGUUGUAGCUCAUCAAUGUGCUGCCGUGGCUCGCAUUCGAAACACAUGAGUAAAUUAGUCCUUACCUCUUGUUUGCAGAAAUGCUCUAGUUUAAACACUGUAAAGAAGUCCCAUGCAAAAAUUUUUGUUUGUGGACUCCAAAAUGACAAUAAUAUACUAAACCAAAUAGCUAUUUUUUAUGUUCAAUUCAAGAAGUUAGAUACUGCAAGGCUUGUUUUUGAAUAUAUAUCAAACCCAUCCAGCUAUCUUUGGAAUAUUUUGAUUAGAGAAUAUGCCACUCAAGGCAACUUCAGGCAAUCUUUGGCUCUGUAUGCCAAAAUGAUGCAAAAUGGUUUCAAGCCUGACAAGUUUGCCUUCCCUUUCGCGCUAAAAUCAUGCGCAGGCUUGGCUAACUUGCAGAUAGGCAAGUUAGUUCACCAGCAUUUGGUGUGUUGUGGUUGUGAUUACGAUGUUUUUGUUAAUGCUGCUUUAGUAAAUAUGUAUGCAAAAUGUGGCAAUGUCGAGGAUGCACGUGUUGUGUUUGAUAAAAUGUCUGUGAGGGACUUGGUUUCGUGGACUUCGAUGAUUUCUGGGUAUGCCCAGAAUGGAUAUAAUAGUGAAACAUUGAGUUUUUUUUAUUUGAUGCGUGAUUUAGGAGUAAAGCCAAAUAGGGUCAGCGUCUUGAGUGCACUUUUGGCAUGUGGCAAUCUUGGGGCUUCAAGGAAAGGUGAGUGGUUUCACAGUUAUGUGAUUCACACUGGUUUUGAGUCUGAUGUUCUGGUUGCAACUGCUGUAAUGGAUAUGUAUGCCAAGUGUGGUAGUUUGGAUUUGGCGCAUAAAUUAUUUGAUCAAACAGAAGGGAAAGACGUUGUUUGUUGGAGUGCAAUGAUCGCUAGCUAUGGAUUUCACGGACAAGGAAGGACGGCAAUUGAUCUCUUCGAUAACAUGGUAAAAGCUGGGGUGGGGCCAAAUGAUAUAACAUUUACUUGUAUUCUAUCAGCCUGUAGUCACUCUGGGUUAUUGGAAGAGGGCAAGAGGUAUUUUGAAGCGAUGAAGGGGUUUGGAAUUGUACCAAAACUCAACAACUACUCAUGUAUGGUAGAUCUUCUUGGCCGCGCUGGACAAGUUUCUGAAGCAGAGAAACUUAUAGAGAAUAUGCCAAUGGAACCUGAUGCAAGUCUAUGGGGAUCUUUGCUUGGUGCAUGCAGAAUUUAUGGUAAUUUAGAUUUGGCAGAGAAAAUUGCUGAUCGUAUUUUUCAGCUGGACCCCUUUAAUUCAGGCUACCAUGUAUUACUAUCAAAUAUCUAUGCUGCUAAAUCUAGAUGGAAAGAAGUAGAAAAGGUGAGGUUGAUGAUGGGUAGAAGAGGAGCUACUAAAGAGCAGGGUUUUAGUUUAAUCGAGUUUAACAAUGUAGUUUAUAAGUUUGGGGUAGGAGACAGGUCUCAUUCUGAAUCUGAGAAGAUUUAUUCUGCACUUCAAGAAUUAUCUGCUCCGAUGAAACAAUUAGGUUAUAUUCCUAUGACAGAUUUUGUGCUUCAUGAUAUUGAAGAGGAGGCAAAAGAAGAAGCACUUUCUUACCACAGUGAGAGGCUGGCCAUUGCUUUUGGUCUCAUCAAAACUGCUCCAGGUACUACCAUUCGCAUCACCAAGAAUCUCAGGAUAUGUGGAGAUUGUCACAAUGCAAUUAAGUUGAUUUCAAAGAUUGAGAAUCGGCUCAUUGUUGUAAGGGACAUGCAUCGGUUUCACCAUUUUAAGGAUGGUGUUUGUUCUUGUGGGGAUUAUUGGUGACUCUACAUGUUUUAGUUUAUGACUUCAGAUACAGCGUACAGGCCUUCGUACUGACAGACAGUUUCUGUACUUCACUCAGGUCAUCAAAGAAAUUUUUUUUUAAUAAUUAAAUGGCCUUUAAAAUUACUCUCCUAGAUUGGUGUCUCUACCCGUUCCCGUAGAUCUAUAGCAAUUUGUUGUUUAAAAUAAAGAAAAUGGUAUUUUGGAUUUUUUUUUUAAAAGGAGAGAAAUGAAAGAAGAAAAAACCAUCAUGUGCUCUAAGGUUACCAAGGUAGAGAUCACCCAAGGAAAUCAACUGUGUAUAGCAUUUCCAUUCCAUUGAAAGUAAAGAAUUGAACCAUUUUGCAUUGCUUGUAAAACAAUGUUUAUUGUUUUGGAGAAACAAACCACCAAACCAAUAAUGAAUUGAGCUACACUAUAUUUUCAGCUACAGUUCUCUGCAGCCCCAAACGAACAAUAAUGAAAGCAACAAUCCUCUGGAUUCAGAAUAAUCGCUAAUCAAAGUACAUCACAGCCUUUGCUGGAGCACUUGAUUUCAAAAUCAUUUCUUCAUAUUCAUCUUCAGGAUUUGAUAAGGCAACAAUAGCUCCUCCUGCUCCUAUGGAAGCUUCACCCUCGUGUAUGACGACUGUUCUUAUGACUAUGUUUAGAUCAAAUGUUCGAUUAUAUGAGAAAUACCCAAUUGAGCCAGAGUAGAUACCCCGAGAACAACUCUCAAUAGACUCAAGAAUUUCCAUCGACCUCAACUUUGGUGCACCGGUCAUUGAACCACCUGGGAAUGCUGCUCUGACACAAUUAACUGCACUAACAUUUGAAUGCUUUUUCCCACAGAUUGUACUCACCAUGGUGUGAACUGUUGCAUAUGAUUCCACAUCCAUGAGAUUUGGGACAUGUACAGAUCCUGGCUCACAGACACGACCAAGGUCAUUCCUUAGAAGAUCCACUAUCAUCAGAUUUUCAGCCUGAUCCUUUUCACUGUCAACAGAAAGAAGGGACGAGAAAAAGAGGACGUGUUAGUUCACAGAAUCAAGAUGAGAGAUGAAAAAUCUAAAUUUUUCUGCAAGCUGCGCAGGAUUGAUGCCUAGAGGAGAGAUGCUUUACUCAACGAGACACUACCCUAGCUAAUCAAGAAAAUGCAAUUAUAAGCCAAAGGGAAACAAAGUGCAGUGGUAUUUUUCGAGACUACUCGAAUAGCAAAUUGUUAUUACCUAUACUGCAGUUGCAAUUUGAGCUGUUCAUCUUCUUCUGGUGUGGAUCCUCGAGCUAUGGUACCCUUGAUGGGUUUUGCUUCUAAUAAGUCAUUCUUAUCCAAUCGUAGAAACCUCUCAGGAGAAGAACAACAAAUGCAUAAAUCCUCCUUAGAAAAACUAAGCCAGGCAGCAUAUGGUGCUGGAUUUUUUUCUCUAAGGUGAAGGUAAAGCCCCAAAGAAUCUAUUUCCCCGAUUCUUUUUCGUAGCUGGGUUGUAAGACAUAACUCAUAGCUUUCUCCAUCUUUUAUGUAUUUCAGACAGUUCUCAACAUUGUUUACAUAGUCCCCUCUUGAUACCUCAGAAAUAAAGGCUGAUUUAUUUCGAGAAACUGUUGGAGCAUGUAAAUUCUGCUCCUCCAACUGCCUUGUUGAAGAAGCUCUUAAGCCAAUAAGCUUCUGUUCUGUAUCAUCCAACCAUGUGGACAUUGGUGUGUUUUCUUCAUUUAGCGACAAUAUAUAAACAUCAUCAUAAAGAUGAUCUAUAACUACAACAUUAUCGGCAAAGAAGAAGCAAGCAUCAGGAGUCCUGGAUUUGUGAUGGUUAGAUGACGCACCACAUUCAACUUUAAGGUUAUAUCUGCAUUACAAGAAAGUCAAUAUCAGAUCCUAUCAGAAAGAAAGUAGAACAUUAUGGAGUUUAACCUCUUAUUUGGAGUAAGAUAAGUGAUACUAAGAUCCGUCAAAACAUAAAGAUUAAAUUUUAGCAAAAAUACUGCCUCCGGUAAUCUGUUUGUUUGAUGAUAGCCAAUAUCUUGAACUUGGGUUUCCCCACUUCAAAUCAAGAAAUGAAAAGAGAUUCAUGAGCACAGUUUACGACCUCAAAGUUACAAUCUUAUGAAAAAUAUAAAUGUAUUUAUAUUUACAUCCGGGUGGAUUAAGAACACUGAAGUCAGAAUUUCACGUACUGAAGAGGAUGAUUAUGGUGCUAAUCAGGCAGGCUACACAGUUGUAAAGACAUUAAAGAAGAGAAAUUUAAUGACACGCACAAAACUUGAAAACACUUCUAACAUGGUGCUUUAAUUAAACAUCAUCAACAAUUGGAUAAUUAUUCCACAUAAUAUAAAAACAAUAUGAAAAAUAUGCCCUGAAUCAUAUUAGUUUAGUGAAGAACUGUAAGAGAUUAAAAAAAAAAAAAAGGAUUGAUGGAUGUCUUGUUGAAUAAAAUUUACCACAUACCCUAUAUAACCAAUAUAUCCACCGUAAAAGUCAAAUGGCAAUCCUUCAUAAUCUUUUUUCUCAUGAUGGAAUGAAAGAAGCUCCUGUUACAGAGAUCAAAUAAUGAGAGACAUAUCAAUGAAUUAAGUAACAGACUUAAUUUUGGUAUAAACAUUAUUAAAUUAUUGUAUGUAUAUAGGAGAAAGAAUUCUUAUGGAUAGAAUAUAGUAAUAUACAUUGAAUACCUUAUCCAAAAAAUCAAAAAAUCCUUCUUCCAGAUAUGCUCUUUCAAUAGAGCCUUCAGCAUCUUCAAUCAAUAAAUGUCCUCCAGAGGUAAAUUUCACAUCACUGAAACAAUUAUGUCUCAUAUAUCAUUUCUGCAAAUUGUAUAUGAUAAUCUUAAUCUAUGGAAACUUUGCAAUUAGUUGUUCAACUUAACGUUCAAUGGAUAACCAGGUACAUGGUUAACAAUGAAAACCUAAAAAAACACAGAUAUUACAUUCUAAACACAAUCAACAAAAGAAAUUUUAAAAUUUCAGCACUAAUUUACAAGGCUAGUGCUUAUUCAAACCUUUGAUCAGACAAUCUAAAUGUCACUUGCUUCCAAAGAGAUCCGCCUUUACCCCCCAUGAAAGAAAAACGCGCUCUUCCCUGAUCAUAGAAGAGAAAACUAAGAAAUAUAAAAUUCCAAUCAACUGAAGUUGAUUCAACAUAAGUUACAGUACCUCCAACAAAAUAAAAGAUAUUUUAUAUGUUAAUACAUCAUCAGUAACAGAAGUCAUUAUGCAGAAAACCAACCUUCUCUGUCGAGGAACUGUCCAACCAAAAUGUGUUUUCAGCCUUGUUAUUCCCAAAUAGUUCACAGAAAAUAUUUCUUGCCCCUCCAACUGUACUUGCCAAGUGAUCAAAUUUCCUCCAUGUCAACUUUAAACACUUUACUCCAAUGCUUGAAGGUUGAAUUUCAAACCUUCUUGAAUGUUGAAUUCUGAACCUUCUAUCACCCAAAUCACAAAAUAAUUGCCUAGGUCUAAGAGCUUCUCUACCAAGUUCAUCAGAGUUAUUCACUGAUCGGCUAGUUCUAGUAAUUUCUCUGAGAAGUAGGCUUUCAGCACCUGCAUACAUCUAUAAACGGUUCACUGCCCAGAGAAAAUCACAGGUAUUCCUCGUAAAAAGUGAAUUAACAUAGGCAUCUACUCAGCAUAUGAAGUAGCCAACAAGAAGUAGAUUCCUUAAAUACAUGCAUGGAAAUGCAUGUUUAUGUAUGUAUAAAAAGAAAAGGGAGAGUGGAGUAAAUAAAACUCAGGUUUAGCAAACAAGAACAGCAGUUCAUUCAUAAUUUUAAAGAGCUCCUGUUUACCAGUAUAAUGAACAUUUCUCUCCUUAACAAAUGGUGAUCUCAAUCUCUUCCAAUAAUCUUCUGUUAUCUCUCUGAAAUUUCUUAAUAUCUUGCUCCCAUAACAGGUGGCAAUGCUCUCUGGAUGAAACUGAAUCGUGGAAGAAAGUCAAGAAAGUGGAACAUAAAUAAAAGAGUAAAAGUCAAAAAAUCAAAAAUCAGAUAUGAGGUAAUACAAAUACACUUGCACCUGCACACCGUAGUGAGGCCUGGUAGAAUGCAUGAUACCCAUGAGAACUUCUCUGCGCAUUCUAUUAGAGUAGAUUGAAUGCCGAUAACUUCCAUUUUUUAUCUGGGUUGAAAUAUCACUGAGAAGGAUUUUUUGCCUACUCUGACUUUGAUAAGCAUCUGGGAUUUCACCAGACUGCAGGGUCCCAAGAUAAGAAAACCCGUCUGCGGAAUUGGACCAAGCUAUAGGUAUGAGUUCCUUGGGCAGGGAAUCUGCAUCUAUUAUAAGGGAAUGGUAUCGAACUACCUGCAUUAAAUAAUAAAUAAAAUGAGCUCAAAAGCAAUGCCCAUACACCCUUUGGAUCAACAGUGGCUUACUCUUCUAAGAUGAUACUUUUUUUUUUUUAAAUAAGAAAUUAUGAGUAUUUGGAUCACUAAAUAAUGGACAAAAGCACUUUAGUACUGGACCAGUUAUCCACGCAAAAUCAAUCAAAGCUAUACAGAACUGUAUCAAUCCCCAAAAGUGUGACUUAACCCAAAAGAGACUACCUAACCCUAUACAGAAAUUAGCAGAAUAUAUUCUAAAACUCCCCUCCAGUUAAGAUGUAUGAAGAAAAACGAAGUGUCCUGGAAUCCUUAGUGACUGACACCCAUAGUGAAGCUAAGAUGAUACUUCAAUUGCAUAGAAAGAUAAAUCACAUACGAGAAGGCCUUUAAUAAUUUUAACUCUGGUUCACUGGAUUUUCAAAUCAAAGUUGCCAUAUAUGCAGAGUAUUCACACAAUUCUGUAUGAUCAGAAAACAUUUCUAAUACGUAAAACUUUGGCUUCAGCGUGCUUCAAAAGUUGCAAAUUGCAACUUGUUCUGCAAUGUAAUAAGAUUGAAGAGUAGAAUCAUGAACAUGAAGAAAUUUGAAAUCUUGCAAUAUUUUCAGAAUGUCUGCAUGUGAUAUAGGAGAAUAAUGCUAGAAGUAUUUAUCUGAGAGUCCAUGAAUGAAAGCACCACUUUCUCAUGCUAAUACUUCGCCAAUAACCAAAUGACUAACCAAAUAGUAGUUGUUAUAGCAUACAAAGAGACAACAGGUAAUUCAAACUUGUUCAAAAGACAAGAUGACAAACUCACCUUGAAUCCUGAAUUCUGGCCAGAAGGAAUAUCAUGAAACAGUCUGUCCCCAUUAUGCACAAUUUCGCUGUCCAAGACAACAAAUAAGUUAAUGAAGGAAAUAGGAGUACACACCAGCAAGCAUUCUUUAUCAGGAAAUAAAAAAAUGUAGAUUUGUUAUUGAUGUUAACUGAAGUCAGACAGAUGAGAUUCAGUACCAACCAAAACUAUAUAUUCACGGUUAUCACUAAUAGAACAUGUUUUUUGAACAUACCUCAAGCGUCCGUGAACAGGUUCAGGUGCAUGGACAAUGUCAGCACCAUGCACAAAGCCUAAAGCCUGCAAAAUUGUCAGUACUCACAUCAUCAUCUAUAAUUUAUUAAAACCAUGGAGAUUAGGAAAUUUUAGGAAAUUGAUUAGAAUGGUAAAGGCUGUUCAAUAUUCAUAAAGCACCAUGUUUGACAAAUUCUACACUUCAGCUCUCAAAGGGAACACAAAAUUCCCACCAAGAUUAUAACAUGAAACCUUAAACGGGAAAAGUAAACAAACAUAUUAUAGAUUCAAAGGAGGCAACAGCCAGGUUAAAGCACUAAAGAACAAUUAAACAAAAUACAAAUCAAUAUGUGAACAUACAAACCCAUGCUUACCAACUGAUGAAUUAAAAUAGUGAUAACAGGGUAUCAGAUUAAUAUAAACACACACAUACCCAAAGCGACGAAAGAAAAAAUUAAAAAUUAAAAAUGAGAUACCUGGUGUCCCAAGCAAACGCCCAAAAUAGGCACAUCCCAGCACUCAAGCAGCACACGAAGACAUAUUCCUGUAAAAAAAAUUUAACAUGAUUUUUUCAGAUUUAAAAAAUAAGAAGCAGACUUAUGUAGACAGAAAUUAAGCAGAAGUCUGAAUAGAUAAAAACUUCUCUGUUGAUCUGGCAAGAUUAUCCCAAUUACAUUCAAGUUGUUGUAUGAACAAUCAAAUUGUAGUAUACCACUCUAUGCAGGAUGUGGCAGCAAUUAGAUAUAUGUGGACGCAAUAGCAAUCAUUUUGGUUGUGACUUAUGAUGGGAGAUUCCACCCCUCAAGAUUGCAAAAGCCCUGUAGACAUCCAGCCUGUACUUUCUAGACUAUAUAUCUGGAGCAGCUGUAAAGAGUAAAAAAUAAAGCAACAUAUAUAUCAAGCAAUUAUUGCUUUCUCACCUAUAUCUUCUGGACAUGCGGGCGAACCAGGUCCAGGGGAUAUUACAAUAUUGUCAAAUGCAUUCUCUUCAUACAAGUAUCGACAAAUGUCUCUCCAUGUCCACUCAUCAUUGCGCACCACAACAGGGGGCACUGGAACAAUAACCCAACAUAAAGGCGUCAAAACAAUGAUCAUUUUGGCUUGUAUUAACAUUUAUGAUCACAAAGAUUGAACAAAUCAAUCAAUGAACAACCAUCUUUCCUGUGAGAGUUGUCACCAUUUUUCUAGCGGACCCGACAAAAUGAUUCUUUGAAUAGAACCCAGCUUAAAAAAUGAUACAAAACAGGAAAGACAUAAUCUCACUGACUUGACCAUAAUGACGAUGUUAGCUGCCAAGAAUCUAAUCUGGUGGUCAAACAGAAUUGCUUUUGGAAACUAAUCUGACUUCAAGAUAAUGCUAAAAGAAGGAAAACAGUAAACUCAUUACUCCCUGAACAGUUAUAAGUCAACAGAGCAUUAAAACAAACAAGGAGACACAUAAGUCACGGUUAUCUAUCUUCUAGUACUUCAAACAUUUUCCAAUAUGACACGCAACAGAGCCUUGAUUUAUGCUAGUAACCAACAUAUGAGAGGCAACGACAUAGGACCUACCACAUUUAACGAACAUUUUGAAAUAUAUCAAACACCUUGAAGGUUUUGGAUACCAAAUAUAAAUGGGUAGGUGAAUGAGUGGUUGGUGCACGUUAGCCGCCAACAGUAAAGUGAUUUUUUUUUGUUUUUUUUUUCGAACACUUUAGCCGCAGUAUUUGUAAAACUUCAAAAAUCAAGCGAAAACACAACCCGAUACACGUUUACAAGACAGCAUAUUGUGUCCACAAAAAUUCUUUUGAAAAUUUCAAGAAAAAAGAAUUGCAUCUGGGUUUUCAAAGGGAAAAAAAUUGAAAAGAAGAAAAAGAAGAAGAAGAAACUUACCGCCAUUAAUGGUACUGAGCUCCUGAUAGAUAUUGUAAGUGUAGCUGUCGUAGUUAUCAAUCAACAAUGUUCUCACAAAUUCAAGCUUCCUGUGAGAAGGUGGUUCCUGGAGGCGUUUCCUUCCCAUAAAGGAUCCUUCUAAGUGCCCACUUAGCUGGCUUGAUGCUUGAACUGGAACACGACCCUUGUUUGAAUAGCAAUCACCAAUCCUUAGAAAUUGGUUUGGCUCAUUAAAGCUCAGAUUUUUACCUCUCAAAUUGUCAAAGCAACAACAUUGAAGCUCAGGGGAGGUUGAUGAUGAACACAAAGCCAUAUUCACUUUGCUUCUUCUUGCUUCUGCAAUAAGCAAAGAUUUAAAUUGUAAAAUUCACAUAAUAUUAUAAGAGAAGCAAGAGAUAAUAAUAAAGUUGGAAAGUUGAGAAACGAAGCUAACCUUUGUAAUGAUGGCUGGUUCGGUCGGUUUUGUUGGUUGGAUUAUGCAGCGUCGUUCCGGGUGGUGGUGGUGGUGGUGGUUGGCAAAUGAAAGAGAAGAUGAGGUCGUGUUGUGUUUGGAGGGAAUGGAGAGAAGAGACUCGCGCACUUUGAGCCUUUGCCUCGGAAUGUGUUGAGGAGGAAUGGAUGAAUAAAUACACUUGGUUACAACAAUGUGGGGCCCAGCCGACAUGGACGGCUCGGAUUCAUCGACAAAGAUUCAUUGGUAUUGGACAGUCAAACUCAUGAAACUGCCCAGAUUCAUUUAAAUAAUUUACGAUUCGAGACAUACAUUUCCCGAAAAUUUAAUUUAAUUUAUUUUUUUAAAAGGGAAAGUCAUGAUUUCGGGAGAAAAAUUUCCCAACCAAACAACUGAUUCAGCUUUUUCUAUUGGUCUCCUAGUUAAAAAAAUGGGCACAAGCGUUACACGAUCUAGGUACAUACUUAGCUUCACAAGAUUUGAAAUUCAUCUUUAGAAUUUGAAUUUCUGAAAUAACCCAGUAGAUCUAUGUUAUUUUACAUCCUCUAUUAUUUAUCAAGUUUGCUACCUCUUGAGAAUUAGUUUCCAAAAUAACUGAUUGCAGACCUUACUUCCUUUGUAAUAUGGAUACCUCACUCAGCUGCUUCUACUUCCAAAUAAGAUACAUCUCCCCUAAACUUCGAGGUUCUUAUGGCUGCUGCUAUGCACUUCCCUGUGGAAUCUCUGAUUAUUGCUCCUAAUCGAGGGCAUUAUCUUUUUGUAUUGGUAGAUGCAUCAACGUUGAUUUUUAGCCAUCCUUGGGGUGGUGGAGCCCAUACUUUUUUAUUCUUCUUCUGCAAUUUCUUCUCUUUCAGCAUCUCUGGAAAUUGGGGUCUUCUAAAAGCCUCAUUAAUUGCUUGAGCUUUGGCCAUUGAUAGACUUGGAUCUAACUUCAAUCCUUCGAAAACAAAUUUGUUUCUAGCAUGCCAAAUCACCCAAAAAAAUUCUCACCAGAAGCUCUAAAUCAACUUUACUUAAUUUCUUCUGCAAUAUCAUCAAGUCCCCAAGAAGGUCUGCAUUUCCCAUCUCUUGAAUUGCACUUGCCAUAGGUGAGAGUUGCCAGAUUUUCUUUGCUGCUUUGCAAGUAUCCGAAGCAUGCAAAGUGUCUAUUCCCACCAGUGGCGGAUCUAGAAAAAUAAUUUAUCGGGAGCUAAAUUAAAUGACAAUAAAAUAUAAAAACUGAAACUUGAAUAUAUAAAUUUUUUGAUAACAUAAUUACAAUUAUUCUCUACGCGAUUUCAUAUUCUGAAAACGUUGUGCAAUAGAUUCAUUAUCAAUACUAUUAAAUACAUAUUUUCUACAUGAAUAAUCAAAUUAUUAUUUAUCCAUUUAUCUCCCAUCCGAUUCCGAAGUUCAUUCUUCACAAAUUUCAUUGCUGAAAAUAUUCUCUCUACUGUAGUUGUAGAAACUAAAAAAACUUAGACUAUUUAAUAAUAUGACAGAGAUUAUUUAAAAAUUUAUUAAUUUUUCUUUUAAAUAAAAAUGAGUUUUUUUUUUUUUUCAGUGGGGGUUUGAGCCCCCACUAGUCCUACACUACAUCCGCCUCCAAUUCCCACAACGCUGGUAAUGAGCUUCCUAGAUAAUUCUACGCUUCCCCAAAUUUUCAAUUGUGGUAGUAAGUUUUUUGCUGCUUUUCAGUGAAAAUCUUGAUUCUUUUUUAGGAGGGUAAGCAUCCAUAUAAUGCUCCAAUUGAAUCUUGAUCUUUUUCUGGAAGGGUAAGCAUCCAUAUAAUGCUUCAAUUACUACUUUUACUGUUAGAGCAUGUAGGUGAAUCCAAAAAUUUCAUGUUUAAAACCACUUGGUAUCCAUUCUUAACUGAGUACUGCCCGCCCUUUUUUGAGAUGGUGUCAGAACUCAUUUCAUUUGGAUGGUUCAAGUCCAAGUUUCAUUAAUUUGGAUAUUUAAAUAAUUACAAAAAUAAGUUAGAGUUAUGUGAAAAUUACCAUGAAAUUUGACUUUGAAAAGGACGUUGGCUAUAUAAAGAACAAAAGCAUGCGGCAGCCCUAAUUACGUAAUCGAAAAAGGCGAGGGAGAGUGAAAGAGCACGGCUUUUGUUUUAGAAACAGUGAUUUUAAACGAUCGAAAGGUAAUUUUAAUUUUAAUUUUUUUUAAAUUUUGAGAAUAAGUUUCUAACAUCAUCCUCUAUAAUUCUAUUUGUCUAGAUUUUUAUUUUAUUCUUUUGUUAGCUAUUAUUUGAUAUAUUCAUUUAUAAGAGAAACAUAUAUUAAAUUGUUAUUGUAAGUCAAGAAUAUUGAGACUUUUAUAUUAUUAACCUCUAGUAUUAUUUAGAUAAGAAUUUGUAUUGUAAUCUCAUUAAUCUAAUGGAAGAUUAUAUCGAACUAUAGUCUCGUGAUUUUUCUCACUUUGUGUUUUUCACGUAAAAUCUGUGUCUUUUAUGGUUGAUUUUUGUUUUGGAUUGUUUUAGUUUAUUUUUCUACCUAUUUAUUUGUGGUAAACAUCCUAUUUUAAUUACACAAAGAAGAAAAAACGUUUUGUUUCUACUUAAUUUGUAACUGCUUGUGUGAGUCCCUUUCCCAAUAGUGGAAUACUUAAAAUUGCAUUUGCAUCUUCAUUUAGAAUUAGAGAUGGCAGUGGGAAGGAGAAGGGAGGAGACCGACCUAUCUGUACCCAUUCCCAAUAUUCUGCAUAUAUCUUCAUCUCCUCCCUAUUUUUGAUAAAAUUGCUUUAGGGAAUCCUUGUCCCCUCCCCGAAUAAUAAUAGGGGAUCUACAAGAGUCUCUGAUCUCCGAAUAAUUGAUACGUUUUUAGUUUUUUAUUUUAAUUUAAUCAUAUUAAAAUAAAAAAUUUAAAUAAAAAAAUUUUACGAUAUAUCUUACAUUAACAUUAAUCCAUUACAAAAGUCACAUUACAAAGUACAAAUCACUAUAAUAAUUAUCUUUGUCAAUCUUCAUAAUCCUAUAAUAAUAAAAAAUUACUUUUAUAUCAACAAUGAGAUAAAUGAAAUAAAUAGAGAUACUUAAUCAAUAUUUCUAAUAAAAGUAUUUACCUCUUGAGCCUCCUGCUCCUCUUGCUCUUCCUCGAGAAAUGUGGCAAAUUAAGAGAUAGUCUCAAAUUUCAAAUUUAAAAUAAUAAAAAUAAUAUAAGUAAUGUAACUUCUAAGUGAAAAUAUUAAUAAUUAUAUAAUAUAAUUAUAAUGUAAAAUAAAGUGUGUUAAAGCCUCCUUUGACAACACAUUAAAGCCUCCAAUGUGCCUAAAUGAAGUGUGUUACGGUACUCUACCACUAGUGCUAAAGGUUUAUUCGAAAGCAACAAUUGUAAUUAGAAUUGCCAAAAUAUCUCUAGCAAUUCGUGUCAAUAUAGGAUACCUACAUGCAUUUGUUUUCCACCAAGUUAAAAUAUUAAAAUCUUCCAUCCGUGGCAUAAUUUUCUCUUCCAAAUAUUAAUGUAGUCAAUUAGGCCCAAAAGUUUAAUAAUAUAAUUAUUUUGAUAUUUGUUAUUUAUACUAAUAAUUAAUAUUUUAUAAUUAAUAUUUUAUUAUUUAUUUACUAAUAAUUUUAAAAAUUAAAAUUAAAAUUAAAAUUAGGAAAUGUGGAGGGGAUAAAGAUUCCGCUGCAUCCUCAUCCCUUCCCCGAAUAAGAAAUUGAGUAAAAAAUUAUCCUCGUCCCUUUUUUGAAUAAGAAAUUAGGUAAAAAAAUAUCUUUGUACCCUCCCGGAAUGGGAAAAAUCCCGAGGCCUCCUGUCCCCAUGGGGAUUUCUACCACCCUUAUUUAGAAUUGAAUCAAAUCAAUCUUCCACUUGUUGUCAUUAUCUAUCAACACUGAUACAACAGCAUCAAGAGCCAUUUUUAGACUGGAAAAAGGUUUGAAGUUGGAUGGUCUUGGAAUCCAAUUUCCUCUAUACACUAAAAUAUUCCCCACCCCCACCCCCCCCGGCCAUUUCUCCAGGGGAUAAAGAUUCCGCUGCAUCCUCAUCCCUUCCCCGAAUAAGAAAUUGAGUAAAAAAUUAUCCUCGUCCCUUUUUUGAAUAAGAAAUUAGGUAAAAAAAUAUCUUUGUACCCUCCCGGAAUGGGAAAAAUCCCGAGGCCUCCUGUCCCCAUGGGGAUUUCUACCACCCUUAUUUAGAAUUGAAUCAAAUCAAUCUUCCACUUGUUGUCAUUAUCUAUCAACACUGAUACAACAGCAUCAAGAGCCAUUUUUAGACUGGAAAAAGGUUUGAAGUUGGAUGGUCUUGGAAUCCAAUUUCCUCUAUACACUAAAAUAUUCCCCACCCCCACCCCCCCGGGCCAUUUCUCCAUCUAUAGCCCUUGAGAAUCACUUGUCGUCCCCACAAUAUACUUCUCCAUACAUAAGAUGAAUUUGAGCCAAUUGAAGCACUCAGGAAAUCAUCCUUUUUAAAAUACUUCGCCUUUAGGACUUUAGCAGUGAGAGAAUCUAAAUUUUGGAUCAAUCUCUGAAAAUUUGUUCUUAUUAAUAAGAGAUAAAUGUUCUUAUUAUAAUAUAAUAAGACUCAUAAAAUUCGAACAUAAUUAAAACUAACAAGAUUGCAUACAUCACCAUAAUUAAAACUUGUCAUGUCUCAUGUGCUAUCUUUAUUUUCUAUAAUUAAUGUAAUAAUCUUACACCAAAUAUUAAAAAAAAACAAAUUAUAUGUCAUAUCUUUUAAGAUAAAAUCUUAUAUAUAUAUAUAUAUAUAUAUAUAAAGAUUUGGUAAUGUGAUCUGGCCAAAUACAUAACACAUCAUUACAUCUUAUCACUCAAAGAAUAUUACUUUAUAACUCACCACUACUUUAUGUUACAUCACACAGUACAUCCUUAUGCAUAAAUAAUGGUUCAUCUUCUGAAGAGUCAUAUAGUUUGUAGGUAAUGACUAUGAGUAUUAUAUAUGGGCUCUAUGUUAUAUACUUCUGCCAAUGUUUUUCUAGCAUGCAAACAUUCCUUCCACAUGAUGUGAUCUUUGUCUUGCAUAUGGUCAUGUUCAACCACUACUUUUACGCGCGUGUGUAUGUGCAUGUACGUGUGCGUGUGCCUUUUGUGUUUUUUAAUUAAUUUAAAAUUUAAUAUCUAUUUUACUAAUUGUUCAUGUGACUGACAUCAAAAUUCCAAUUCAUAAUAACUACACAUUAUUGAAAAUCCAAUAAAAAUAAAAUGAUAAUUAAUGCCAACAAUUUCUUAAUCGAUUUAGUUGGUCAAUUGACCGUCUCUUCAUUGAGAUCAACAAAUUUAAGUCUCUCUGUAGAUGUGAAAGUUUAGUCAUAUGUUGUUUAUUUGGUUUCAGAUGUUUAGGCAUUGACAACAGGUUGAUGAAUUUGAACUGGGUUUAGGUUUCGCCCAAAUUAUUGUGCUAUAUUUAUCAUUAUUUGCAUUGUACUGCCUAUUUAAUAAUUAAUAGAAAAAAUGAUGAUAAAGGUAAUGAAUGAGACAAGUGAUAAUUGAUAAUGAAUAGCUUCUCUAUUUUUUACGUUAAGCAUAAUUCAUGGACAUCAUUAAGGAGUAAAUAUAAAAUUCAACCGCAUGAUUUACGAAGGUAACAAAUAGGUAUACAAGCUAUAACGACACAUUUGUAAAGACAUAGUUGACUAGUCUUUCUUUAAAAGUCUCUUUCUCUAGAAAGAGAACUUUGAAUGAAAGGGUAAUGGGGUCCGAGUGGCUCAAUCCUGUCACCCCUAGUUGAGUGAAUGGGUGUUCUUUAGUGUUCUGAAAAGUCUAAAGUAAAAGGCUCCCUAUAAAGUUUCUUGUUGAUUAGUUCAAGCUAAGCAGAGGGUGUAAAAGUUAAGAAAACACUAAAGGGGUUGGUGAGAGAAUUUAUUCCUUGGGGAACCACUAUGAAAACAGAGGAACUCAUAAAAAGUGUAGUGCCAUUUCUUUAGAAGGAGAAGAAGAAGACAAAGUGUCUUUUGUCGGCAAGAUAAAGACAAAAGGUGCAGAAAUUAUUGCAGGAUGUUUAGUUGGAAAAUUUCUAACCACAAGGGGAGUCAAUAUUGAAGGGCUCAGAUCAAUGAUUCACCAAGUGUGGAGAACAGUACUAGGGGUGAGAGUUGAGAGUUUGGGAGAAAAUGUGUUCAUGUUCAAAUUUACUUUAGAAGCUGAUAAAAGAAUAGUGCUAGCCGGCGAGCCUUGUUAUUUUAAUAAAGCUUUGAUAGUCCUUACAGAGCUAGAAGGAAUAGGAAACAUUACAAAGCAAGCAUUCACCCACGUUUCCUUUUGGGUCCAGAUUCUUAACAUACCAAUUAUGGCCAUGAAUAUAGAAGCAAUUUCAAAACUGGGAAUUAUUAUUGGUAGUGUAGAGGAAGUAGAGACAAACGAAGAUGGGGAAUGUAUUGGGGAGAUUGCUAGAGUCCAAAUUAAAGUGGACGAUACAAAGCCGUUAAAGAAGAUUAUCUUUCUCGAAUCAGAAGGGGAAGAAAAAGUCCCAAUGCGAGUUACAUAUGAGAGAUUACCAGACUUUUGCUUUUAUUAUGGAAUCAUCGGCCAUCAGUUCAAAGAAUGUGUCAAGUACAAAACUCAUAAAUAAGAAAACUUUGCUUUUGGUCCAUGGAUGAAGGUUGUAACAGUGUUCGAACGUCUCAACCAUAACAAGUCUAAAGAUAGGUGGAACAAAAGCAAUAAUACAAGGAUGAAGAAGAAUGGGCAACAAAAUGAUAUGAGGAACCAGAACCAAAGUUAGAGGCAACCCAUCUCAACUACAGAAACCAGGUCAGAAGCAAUCCAGAUUGAAACGGGCGAGUCGACAGUACCAAUAAGCAAAAGCCAUGUGGCAGUGGAGUUGGAUAAACAAUUAACAUUAAAAGGGGAGAAAUCGAUGCAGCAGCCACUUGGGUGUAAAGAUCAAAUCACAACAACUAGAAAGAAAAAGAUGUUGGGAAAUGUGGACAAAGAAGCGGGAGGAAACUGGCGGGAAGGUGGAAAUACAGAAGACAUCCAAAAGUUGGGAUCAACGGGCUUAGUAAACAAAGUCCAAGCAAAUUCAAUGAAGGAAGGGGUAGAAGAGGAAAUAGGAACAAUUAUGGAGAGGCCCAAAACAAUGAGAUGAAAGCAUUUGGCAAUGGAUAAUUGCAUUAAAGAUGAAAAUAAAAUAGGUUAAAUUGCCAAGAAAAUGCCUAUGCAAAAAGCGGGAAAGUUAAGUCCAAAUGUUAAAAAAUAAAAAAUAGACAACCAGAAGAGGAUGGAAGUAACGUAGAGUGAAAAUUGCUCCCUAACAGAGCUUAGCUCUAGUCUAGAAACACAAGACAUGGAAGAAAUGAAGGUGACUGAGACAACUAUCAAUGAAUUAACGACGGAGACUGGUAGUCAGCCCGCCGACAGCCAUGAAAAUCCUCAAUUGGAACGUUUGGGGUUUGAAAAAUACUUGAGCAUCACUUAAAUAUAUUCUCCAAACAUAUAAGCCACAAAUUGUUUUCUUAUGUGAGACUAAGAUGCGGCCUAUGCAAAUAGAUGUUGUUCGUGUUGAGCUGAAAUUUGAGAAUUGCUUUACAGUUGGUAGAAAUGGGUUAAGAGGGGGAUUAGCGAUGCUCUGGAGUUCUGAUAUAGCCGUAAAUAUAGCCUCUUACAGUCAACAUCAUAUAGAUGCUGAGAUUUGUAAUGAAAGAGGGCAAAAUUGAAGAUGCACAGGGGUGUACAUGCAUCCAGAAACAACUCAAAAGAGGCACACAUGGACAUUAAUGAAACUGUUAGCAAACUUAUCUCCCUUACCGUGGCUAUGCUUCGGUGAUUUUAAUGAAAUAUUGCACUUGCAUGAGAAGAAAUGAGGGAAUAAUAAGGAUGUAAAUAUGAUGUUUGAAUUUAGAGAUGCAAUCUAAGAAUGUGUUUUAACUGACAUGGGGUGCAAAGGAAGAAUUUUUACAUAAUUAAACCGAAGAUAUGGGCCAAACUUCAUAGAGGAGAGAUUAGAUAGGUUUUUGUGCAACUCUGAGUAGGGCAACCGAUUCCAUGAUUUGGCAGCUAUUAAUUUAGAGUCCUGGAGCUCAGACCAUAGCCUAGUGAUAAUAGAAGUUGAGGAGAGGGGUGUUGAAAUAAACAAUAGAAGAAAGAGUGUGCGGAGAAUUCACUAUGAGGAUAUGUGGAGCUCGUAUGAUGCUUAUAAGAAAAUAAUCAAGCAUGAGUGGAGUAUGCAAGGGGUGUGGACUGAUGUGAACCCGGUACAAUUGUUUAAAAAAUCAGCGAACACGACAAUGGCUCAGCCGAGGAUUUGGAGCAGGAAAGAGUUUGGUGAGAGAACAAAACAGCUAAAGUCAUUAAGAAAUGAGCUACAAAGGGCUAGACAGAGUAAUAUACCCUAUGUGGAUGGAGCUAAGAUAAGAAAAAUUGAGAAGCAAAUUGAUAAAAUUUUAGAUGACGAGGAGAUAUACUGGAAAUAGAGAUCGAGAGCGGAUUAGCUGAAGGAGAGAGAUAAGAACACUAAGUUUUUCCACUUAAAAACAUCAUCAAGAAGAAGAAAAAAAAUUAGAGGAAUUGAAACUAAACGAGGCAGCUGGACCGAGGAGGAAAGAGAAGUAGAGAAGGAAUUUUGUGGUUUUUUUAACAAGCUCUUUAAGUCGUCGAAUCCCUCGCAAGCUCAAAUUGAGGCUGCAUUAGCUUAUCUGGUUCCAAAGGUCACGGAAGAGAUGAAUGAAGAACUUCAACAACCUUUCACUGAAGAGGAUAUAACAACAACAUUAUCACAGAUGUGUCCCACCAAAGCCUCUAGCUCGGAUGGACUGCCGGCAGUCUUUUUCCAAAAGCACUGAAAGCUGGUCCGUGAAGGAGUUAUCAACGCAUGCCUCCACAUUCUCAACGAGCAAGGUAACAUUGCUCCACUAAAUCACACAUAUCUUGCUCUUAUUCCUAAGGUGGAGAAACCAAAGAAAGUGGUUGAGUACAAACUUAUAAGUCUUUGUAAUGUAAUUUAUAGAAUUGUGGCAAAAACCAUUGCAAAUAGACUUAAGGAAAUUCUUCACCAAAUUAUAUCCCCCUCCCAAAGUGUAUUUAUCCCCAAUAGGCUUAUAAUGGACAAUGUGAUCAUUGGAUAUGAGUGUCUUCACAAAAUUAGGCAUAGCAAGGGAAAGAAAAAUGGAUUUGUGGCACUAAAAUUAGAUAUAAGUGAAGCUUAUGAUCGAGUAGAAUGAUCCUUUGUAAAAGCUACAAUGCUCAGAUUAGGCUUUCUUUUAUACUGAGUUGAUCUAAUAAUGAGAUGUAUCACCACCACGUCUUUCUCUGUUCUUAUUAAUGGGGCUGCUAAAAGGUGGAUAAAACCGCAACGAGGGCUUAGACAAGGAAGCCCAUUGUCCCCUUAUCUCUUUAUUUUGUAUGCUGAGGUGUUUUUCAGAUUAUUGAUGUAGGCUCUAAAUCAAAACCUCAUACAUGGAUUGAGGUUUGGAAACAAUAUCUUAGUAUCCCAUCUACUGUUUGCAGAUGACAACUUGAUCUUCACAAAGGCAACAGUUGCUGACUGCAAGCAUCUUAAAACAAUCUUUGAUCGCUACACUACUGAUUUUGGCCAGUUAUUCAACCUAGACAAAUCUUUAAUGUUUUUUUGUGGUAAUACCAAGGUUGACCGAGUGGCUGCGAUUAAAGAAAUUUUUUACUUGAAUGUUGUGUCCAGACAUGAGAAGUACCUUGGGCUACCAUCCAUGAUCGGAAGAAACAAAAUGAAAUUCUUCAACGAUAUAAAGCUUAGGGUGAUAAGCAAAGUUUCAAGUUGGCAGCACAAGCAUUUCUCCAAAGGUGGCAAGGAGAUCCUUAUCAAAGCCAUAGCCCAAGCGGUUCCAACUUAUGCCAUGAGUGUAUUCAAAAUUUCUCAAGGACUUUGUGAUGAUAUCCAGAAAGUUAUACCUAAAUUUUAGUAGGGAUCCAAGAAUGAUCGGAAAGGCAUUCAUUGGGUAAGGUGAGAGAGGCUCAACAAAGCAAAAUGCAGAUGAGGAAUGAGGUUUAAAGAAUUCUCGUGUUUUAAUCAUGCAUUGGUAGCCAAGCAAGGGUGGAGGAUUCUUCAGUUUCCAGAUUUUUUAAUGGCUCGAGUUUUGCAAGCAAGAUAUUUUACAAAUUCUGAUUUCUUGCAGGCAAAACUGGGGUCCAAUCCUUCUUACAUCUGGAAAAGUAUUCUAUGGGGGAGACUUGUAAUCCAGAAGGGAUAUAGAUGAAGGAUCGGUUCAGGAAAUAAGGUGCAGAUUUAUAGUAGCAAUUGGAUCCCAAGACCAACAACGUUCAGACCAAUUUCUAUUCCAACCCUUCCCUGUGAUGUUGUGGUUUCUGAACUGAUUAAUGAUUAUCAAGGCUGGAAUUUGACUAAAGUGUACCAUUAUUUUUGAAAAAAAGAUGCAAAUCAAACAGUCAGCAUUCCUUUCCCAUAAAGACUAAAGAUCGAUCAGAUAUUCUGGUAUUAUGAUAAGAAAGGCAAUUAUUCAGUCAAAAGUGGAUAUCAGAUUGCUCAGAGGAUAAAGUUUCAAGAACUUCCCAGCUGCUCUGCAAAUAAGCCAGGAAUUUGGAAAAAUAUUUGGGCUAGUACUCUUCCUGAAAAAAAUAAAAUAUUUAUGUGGAGAGAUGUCCAAAACUUGUUACCAUUAGCUAAAAUCCUAUGGAGGAGAAAAGUGAUACCAGAACCUAUCUGCCAACUCUGUAAAAGGGAGAUGGAAAACAUUUCUCAUGCUUUGGUGGACUGUAAUUAAGCUCGAAAGAUAUGGAGAAUGGUCCAUUUUACAGAUAAAGUCUAUUCUCUUACAGAACAAAGCAUGGUAGAUGUGCUACAAAAGAUGACAGAAAUGUUUGAAUCAUGCAUAAUUCGAAUUGUUGAUGGUUGUGUUUUGGGCAAUCUGGCAUGCAAGAAACAAUUUCCUUUUUUAAAGGAAGAAAGUAGAUCCUCUGAUCUCUUUAGCAAAAGAUGAGGUUGUUCUAGAAUCCUAUAAAAGAAUCAAAUCUCCAAGUGAAUCACACCUGCACAGGAGCUUAGUUCAGAAGCAACAGCAUCAGUGGAUUCCACCUCUUCAAAGAUAGAUUAAGAUCAAUGUGGACGCAGCCACAAAUAGGGAGAAGAAAUCAGUAUGUUUGGGAGUUGUUGCUAGAGACUCAACUGGGAGGUUUAUAGCAGCUGCAGUAAAGACAUCAAAGUUUCAUGGGAAUGUAACUUUUGCAGAGGCUGAGGCUGUAGAAUGAGGGGUUGUAGAUAGUGAAAACUUUGGGGGUGUCUUCAAUUAUAGUCGAAAUUGACUCUCAAACCGUUUCAAACCUUCUCAACAGAAAGGCAGGCAAUAGAACUGAGGUUUUCUGGGUGAUAUCAGAGGUCCAAGAUCUGGCUAAAGAGUUUGGUAAAAUUAUAAUUCAGUAUAUCCCAAGGACUUGUAAUGCCCAUGCCCACUUUUCAGCUAAAUCAACCUUUGAUUAUGACGAACCUGCAGUUUCGAUGGGAACAUUCCCAGAGAACAUUUUGUAUCUUCUUCAGUCUCUAAAUGAAUGAAGGUUUUAAUUUGUCAUGACCCAACCCAUACCUGGCAAGAUAUUGUCCGCUUUGGGCCUUAACAAGGCCCGCACUGAUUUGUUCUUGGGGCGCCCAUACACCCCAAAACGCGUCUUGCCAAUUAAGGUGUGGAUCACCCUUUAUAAACCAAGCAUCUCUCCCGUACUUUGCUGAUGUGGGAUUCGCCUAGGGUGUUACAUAAUUCCUUAUCAAAAAAAAAAAAAUAGGUAUACAAGUUCAUUGCUUGUUUUAAAUUUUUCGUACCCAUCCAAUACCAUUAGCAAAAUAAUGAAAUGUCUAAAGACAAUACCAUCAAUUUAUCAAAUCUUUUUUAGUAUUUUAUCUAAAUUUUUUAUUAGAUUAAAUUGUUUUGUUACAAUAGUAAGUUCUAAGGGCUUAUUUUGUUCUUACAAUUAUUAUGCAAAUUUAUUGACAAAUAUUUGAGACAAGUGGGAAAUUAACUUAUGAGCUUAAUUGUUACUUUUGUUAACUAGAGGAGUGAUUUGAUGAUUCUCCUUAAUUUAAAGAGUGGCUAUUAGCACCCUUCACAAUCAUUAUAAAACCAUUUUUUUCAAAAAUGAUGUUGGAUCUCUAAUAUAACAUUAGGUUUAUAUAUGAAUAAUUAUAUGUUGUCUAUUGCCUUAUAAGGUUAAUCUCAAGUAAAAUUGAACUAUUAAGGUUUUUAGUAAUUUGUACUUUAAUAUAUUUGAUAAGGUGUGGGCUUUUAAUAAGUAGAGACUUAAGGGUAAUUUCUAUUUCAAUGAUCGGCUAAAAUAGAAGUACAUAAAGAUAGUGGGAAAGUUAUUUGUAUAAGUGAUUAUGGUUCUCAUAUCACACGCAAUAUUCUAUUCUUUUUUGACAUCUUGUCAUCAAGGAGAGUGCCUAGAGAAACUUAAAGGAUUUUCUAGGAUCAUAUAUUGAUUUGGAAGAUAAACCAUACAGUUUUAGAGAGUAAUUAAAUAUUGUUGAUUUAGGAACGCUUCUACAUAUUUUAUUAUUGAUUUUUGAUAACUCAACAUGAAUGUUCCUACAAUUUAGGUGAUGGUUUUUACUAACAAUUAAUUUUAUAAUAGAUGCAUUCCAAUAAAACUAUAAAAAAAAGAUUUUUAGUUCCCUUUACUAAGAUUAAUAUAUAUCACUUACCCUUCUUAUUGUUUUCAUAAUGGCUAAUAACUCUUAUAACAUAAAAAAUUUAAAGAAAAAUAGAGAUAGAUAGAUUUAAUUUCUGUGUAUAUGAUUUAUUUAAUAAAUAUAAAUAAAAGUGUAUUUGAAAAUAAGGAUAACACUAUAAAAUUAUGAUGGCAAUGAGUUUAUGGCUAUUAUGAAAAUAAUAAUGAGAUAAGUAGUAUGUAUUGAUUUUAGUAUGAAAAAACUAGUAAUAAGACCAUCUUUAAAAAACUCUUCAAAUAAGAUUUUAAUAUUUAUUUGAAUAGUUACAUCAGCAUUUGAAACUCUAAAAAACACUCAAAUUAAGAUUUUUCAAAUAAGAAAUGAUUAUCUCUCUUUAAUUUUGUAAAGUUGUUUUAUCACUCUUCAAUUCAAUUUAUAUUUUAUUACUUUUUAUUGGAGAGAGAGAGAGAGAGAAGUGCUUCAAUUAACAUUUAUUUUUCUUUGAAAAAAUAUUUAUUUGAUUAAAAUAAUAUUAAUUUAUUCCUAUUUGAAGAGUCUUUUGGAGAAUAAUAUAUUUUUUUACUCUCAUUUUUGCCACAUAGAUAAGUAAAUAAAUAUUUGAAGAGUAAAAUUAAUAGAGUCUUUUGGAGAUUCUUUAAAUAUUAAUUUUAGUAAAGGAAAUUGAUAAUUUUGUCUUUAUUUGUAUUUCUCACUAUAUCUACAAAAGAAAUACUCAUUCUACAAAUUCACAAGUAACUAUUGGUGAUUCUCACUUUUUUAUUAGUAUUCUAAAAACACGAAUGCAAUUAUAACUCAUUGUUCUUUUAAUUUGGAAUACUCUCUAUCUCAUCAUUAAUAAACUUUGCAUUUACCAUAAAAUCUCUUUCUUCUAUAGAAUUAAAAUUUAUCGUUCUUAACUUUUACUCAAUACUAAAGAUAGAAUUUUGGCCUUCGAUUUUCAUAGUGGUGGCUUCUUCAAAGCUGGAGUUUUGUUUAUACUCCACGACUUCAAUGGAAUUUCCUUUUUUUUUUUUCAGAAAUUUCCAAAUCAAAUAAAAAAGCAAUGACAAAAGGAAAAAAAAAAGUCGUCCAGGGUUGUAAUUGAAUAGCAGGGUCAUGACUGUAACUAAAAACAAAGGAGGCUUUCUCAGGAAUACGGAGGGGUGCCAAUAGAUCUACUGCAAUUGAAAAGCUUGCGUUAUUUAAAUUAUGUCUAGGCCCAACUGCCCAAUCAGUGUUUCAAAUCCCAAUGAGAAUUGUUAAAAGUUAUGUUGAAUCCGAUAGUGAUGCGUGAAAAUUUUGAUAGCCAAAAUUCUUCAUCUAGGUCUUACAAGGACUUAUUUGGAUGAUAUUAUUUUUUGAGAGAGAGUGGACUUGCAAUUUCGAGGGGGUUGCAGUAAGAUUAAUUUAUCUCUAUUGAUUGUUAAGUUAUAUUCGUUAUGUAUGGUGCCAGAGUAGGUUUUUCGAAUUCAUGAUAUGUUAAGGAUUUGCCAGUAAAUUUUGAGGUGAUCUGAUUAUUUUGUAUGGAAAGCAAGAAACUAUAACAAUGAUAUUAGAAAGAUAAGGAUUAUGUAAGGUAUGUUCUGCGGUAGACAAUGAAAUUGAUAGAAGAUCAAAGAGCAUGAUACAUGGUAUUGACUUCACCACAUUUGGUUCUCGCUAAGUUAAAGUAUAAGUAACUAAUAACAAAUCCAAAUAUAAUUAUCUAUAAUCUCUCACUUAUUUUGCAUGUUACCAUUAUAUUGUAUUGAAUAAUUACUUUUAAGUUAUUUUAAGAGCCGCUGCCAUACUCUUUGGCUUAUUAAUUUAUUAUCCAAUUGAUCAUGCAGUACAAAAACUUCCAAAUUUUUAAAAGUUAAAAAAAAAAAAAACCGACUACAGUUUCAAAUCCAGUUUCCGUCACUUCUUCUUAACGCUACAACAAAUAUGACUUUUGAUAGCGCUCACAAAAUGUUAUAUUAUCGUUAUUAUAGCAUUUAUUUAAUGUCGUGAUUGCCCAUGCUAUCUUUUCUCUAUAGCGUUUUUAAACACCGCUAUCGAUGUAUAGCAGUUGUUAAAUGCUGUUAUAAAACUAUAAUAACAUUUAUUUAAUGUUAUCAAAUAUUAUGAUAGAGCGUUUUUUGGAGUGCUAUUUGUUUAUAACGUUUUUUAAAUGUUAAAGGAAUAAUUGUUAUUCAAGUAAUUUAUAGCAUUUAUAUCAAUGUUAUAAUUUAGCCGAAGAGUCUAUAGCAUUAACCGAAACGCCAUAACAUGUUUUCAUGCUACAAACUGUUGAUAGCAUUUUAUGAAUUUUGGUAAUGCUAUAUUAAUCUUUUCUGGAAUGCCAUUGUGCUUGGUUUUUGUAACUUUUUUUUUACUUUAUAGCAUUUAUCAUAUAUUUACAACAUAAUCGAAUACAACAUGAGUUAUAAUUAAAACUGACAAUUUUAACAAAAGGAAUACACUACAUUUCAUUAAUUCAUGAACAACAAAUACCAUAACGUAUUUUAAGAGUGAAAAAAUUAAUAUUAUACAUAUAUAAAAACAAACUAAAGUUAAUGUCCAAAAGAAGACCUAACAUUACAGUAAACAUCAUUAAAAAAUGUGAAUGCCAAGUUUAACAAAUACUAAUAGUCACUCCAACAAUGAUAUAUACCAUUAGACCCAUCAAAAUCAUCUAGCCAAAACACUACCCUUAGACCCAUCAAAAUCAUCUAAUCAAAACACUAAGUCAAAAUAUUGUCUUUAAUUAAACUUUUAACCAUUCAUACCAAAAUUAAUCUUCCAUAACAAUAAUCGCUUCUGUUGGCCAUGCAAUUGAACUUCCCAAAGCAUCUUCUAUUGUUUCCAUAUCUGCAUAUUUUUUCCACAACUAAGCUGAAGGAUUUUUCACCUCAUCUACCCACACACGAGAAGCAUUUUUUCCAAGAGCUAUACAAUGCACCAUUGCAUUAGGAUCAUUUGUUACCCAACGUCCUAUUGCAACUACUUCAUCUACUUCAAGCCAAUUCAACAACUUGCACUUUUGGCCUUUCCGAUUUGGGCUUACAUGCUGUACUCAUAAGCAAAACAAAGAAAACAACAUUUCUAAUUAUAAUUAAGUUGAUAGUUACUAAAUUAUUAAUUAUGACAACAUAAAUUGUUGUAUAAGUUUAAACUUUACUUGUGGAGUACUAUUGGAUUGAGUUGAUGUAGAUAGAUUUUGAUUUUGUCCAUCAUUUGAUGCUUCACUCUGUACAAAAAAAAAUUUUAAAAAGAAGUUGAUUUCACCAUUUUAUGAAAUUAAAAUUCACAAGUAAUUAACGUAACAUUUAAUAAGGUACUUGCUAUUACCAGUUUGCUCAUUAAACUUUGUAUGAGUUUGUUUUGAUCAUCCAUGAAACCUUGCAUUUGCUUCAUUGUGUCUUGUAAUGUGUCAAUUUGUUCUUGCAUUUUGGCUUCCUUCUUAGUUUGCUGAGAUAUUGCCUCUAAUUUAGAUAGCGUCACACCUGCUCCUUGACCUCUAACACGGCCUCCUUGCUCAGGUCCAAUAAACUUUGAAAGUAUAUCAUUUUUAACAGAUUUUGAUUGUGCUUCUGACAAAUCUGAAAUUUUUUCAGCUUCAUACAUUUCCUAAACUCAAGAAAGAGUUAUUUAUUAUAAUAUUUCCAAUAAUAAUUGCUAGCAUAUCUAAGUUAUCAUCAAUAAAUUUGACACAUACAUUUACUUCAACAACUUUUGAACUAGAUGGUUCACCAUUCUUUUUAGUAUGUGCUUUUAUCCAAAUAUCAAUUUGAGUUAUUUCUGAUGGGUUUGAACUGUUUUUCUUCUGUAAUGAAAAUAUUUUUAAGUCAGAAUUAAUUAUUUAUAUAUAUCUCAAAGUAAUAACAGACACUAGCUAGAUAACUACUAUAUUGUUUCAAUAUAAUUAAAGAUUUACCAUCUUAACUUGCAUACGAGCAUAUCCCAUUCGACUUCCGGUAUAUGGAAUAUCUUGCUUCAUCCUCAUUUCCGUAAAAACUUUCCUUUUAUCCUGUUUUAAUUAACAUUAAUUACAUCAUUCUAAAUAAAAUAAAAUAUGCAUGAAUGAAUGUUUCAGCUAGGACUAUAAGCAUACAUACCAUGAAAGCUUUUGAGGUCUUUUUUUAAAUAAAAGUUUCCCACUCGGCAGGUUUGACAUGACUAGGUCGAGCAUCCAACUUUUUUGUCAAUCUUGAUUUAUGUGCUCGCCAGACUUUUCCCAUCAUCUGUAGCGUAUACUUUUUGAUUGCAUCUCCUUCCAAAACAAAUUUUUGCUGAAUGUUUUAAGCAAAUAAAAAAUAACUAAUGUUAGUUAGUGUCAUGUUAUAAUUUGAACUGCACUCUAAAGAUAGAUGUGUACAUAUUUACCUCGAGUGCUCUCAACAACAAAGCUUUUUGCUGUUUUGGAACAUAUCUCCAAUCAUCACAGUUUAUAGACACAGCCUCCUUUACCAAACUACCAUAAAACGAUGAAUAUAACACAGAUGAUUUUCCAAUAGGUUGCCCCAAAUUAUUCAAUUCUAAGACCAUCUUCUUCCCAUCUUCAUUUGCUAUAUCAUGACAUACAGUAGGGCCCAAUUUCUUCUUUGUCAAAUUCUCUUCAUUACAAGAUUGAUACGGAUUUUCAGAUGUGGCAUCAUUGAGAUCUUCAUCAGUUAAGUGUGUCUCGGUAAUAGGUGCAUCACUAGACUCAAACCUACUUGAUAAGCUUUCCUUCCUUUUUCUUUUGGAAGCUUGUUGAGAACUCCAUUGACCAUAUAUAAAAUGAAUUGGCAUAAUUUCUCAUUUUUAACAUAGAUAAAUAUAGUAAUCUUCAAAACAAUAUUAAGUAUUUACCUCUCGGGCACACAUGGUACUUCCCCAAUGUUCCUGAAAUACAGGGCAACUUAAAAAAAUCACAAAAUAUUCUACAAAAACGAUAUUAACAUUAAACUACUUUUAAAUGAAAGGUACUUAAGUCUAGAAUGCAAUAAUAUUCAUGAAUCACUCUAGAAUAUAACUUAUCAAUACAGUUUAUUCAUUGUUUCCAGGUCUGUUAGUAAGUUCUUUGUCAGUGUUCUUAAAAUAUAGCGUCGAAUUCAAAAACUCACAACAAAUUCUAGAAAAAUGAUAUUGACAUGAAACUAAUUUUAAAUGAAAGCUAAUUAAGUCUAGAAUGCAAAAAUAUUCAAGAAUUACUCUGGAAUAUAACCGAGCAAUACAGUUUAUUCAUUGUUUCCAGGUCUGUCAGUAAGUUCUUUGUCAGUGUUCUUAAAAUACAGGGUCGAAUUCAACAAAUCAGAACAAAUUCUACAAAAAUGAUAUUGACAUGAAACUAAUUUUAAAUGAAAGCUAAUUAAGUCUAGAAUGCAAAAAUAUUCAAGAAUUACUCUGGAAUAUAACCGAGCAAUACAGUUUAUUCAUUGUUUCCAGGUCUGUCAGUAAGUUCUUUGUCAGUGUUCUUAAAAUACAGGGUCGAAUUCAACAAAUCAGAACAAAUUCUACAAAAAUGAUAUUGACAUGAAACUAAUUUUAAAUGAAAGCUAAUUAAGUCUAGAAUGCAAAAAUAUUCAAGAAUUACUCUAGAAUAUAACCGAUCAAUACAUUUUAUUCAUUGUUUCUAGGUCUGUGAGUAAGUUCUUUGUCAGUGUUGUUAAAAUACAUGGUUGAAUUCAAAAACUCACAACAAAUUCUACAAAAAUGAUAUUGACAUGAAACUAAUUUUAAAUGAAAGCUAAUUAAGUCUAGAAUGCCAAAAUAUUCAAGAAUUACUCUAGAAUAUAACCAAUCAAUACAGUUUAUUCAUUGUUUCCAGGUCUGUCAGUAAGUUCUUAAAAUACAGGAUCAGCUUCAGAAAAUCAUAAAACAUUAUACAAAAAUGAUAUAAACAAUUCUGCAUACAUUAUCUUAACAUGACAAAUACAAAAGUUUGCUUGGUACAAGUGUUUCCAUACCUAAUAAAAGUGAUCGCACAGAAUUGCUAAAAUGAAUCAAAAUAUAUCCUCGUACGACAUGCUUUAUAAUGAACUGCAUAAAAGAAAAACAUCUAACUUCCAUCUAGAAGAUCCACAUUUAGGACAUGUUUCACUUUUCUCUAAGUCAUUUCUAAACAAGCAACAGUCAUUAACACAAGCAUGUAUCCUUAUACAAUCUAGUUGAAAUGGUUUCAAUAACAUUUCAACUGAACGAGUAGAAUUCGGAAUAGUAUUUAAUUCGGGUAACAUAUCACACAAAAUCUCCAAGAGGUUAUCAAAACUCUUAUUUGAGUAUCCGUACAUAGUCUUGUAUUUAUAUAAGACAGCCGCUGCAGAUAACCUAGUGUACUUUGGGCAACCUGGGUACAAUGGGAUUUCAACAUCUUCUACAAAAUUCAUUGGGCAAUUAUCUUGCUGCUCAUCAAAAUUUCAUGAACACCUCUAUAAUGAUCAUCUACAUCUCUAGACAUGCUAUAUGUAUUAGUCAUUUCGACAUCAAUACCUUUUUUCCCUAACUGUUCCCCAUGCCAUAUCUAAGUAGUGUAAGACAUAUCCAUCCCGUCUUUCAACAAAUGCAAUUUUCAGGUCUGUCAGUAAGUUUUUUGUCAGUGUUCUUAAAAUACAGGGUUGAAUUCAAAAUAUCACAACAAAUUCUACAAAAAUGAUAUUGACAUGAAACUAAUUUUAAAUGAAAGCUAAUUAAGUCUAGAAUGCCAAAAUAUUCAAGAAUUACUCUAGAAUAUAACCAAUCAAUACAGUUUAUUCAUUGUUUCCAGGUCUGUCAGUAAGUUAUUUGUCAGUGUUCUUAAAAUACAGGGUUGAAUUCAAAAACUCACAACAAAUUCUACAAAAAUGAUAUUGACAUGAAAAUAAUUUUAAAUGAAAGCUAAUUAAGUCUAGAAUGCAAAAAUAUUCAAGAAUUACUCUAGAAUAUAACCAAUCAAUACAGUUUAUUCAUUGUUUCCAGGUCUGUCAGUAAGUUCUUUGUCAGUGUUCUUAAAAUACAGGGUCGAAUUCAACAAAUCANNNNNNNNNNNNNNNNNNNNNNNNNNNNNNNNNNNNNNNNNNNNNNNNNNNNNNNNNNNNNNNNNNNNNNNNNNNNNNNNNNNNNNNNNNNNNNNNNNNNNNNNNNNNNNNNNNNNNNNNNNNNNNNNNNNNNNNNNNNNNNNNNNNNNNNNNNNNNNNNNNNNNNNNNNNNNNNNNNNNNNNNNNNNNNNNNNNNNNNNNNNNNNNNNNNNNNNNNNNNNNNNNNNNNNNNNNNNNNNNNNNNNNNNNNNNNNNNNNNNNNNNNNNNNNNNNNNNNNNNNNNNNNNNNNNNNNNNNNNNNNNNNNNNNNNNNNNNNNNNNNNNNNNNNNNNNNAAGUAGUGUAAGACAUAUCCAUCCCGUCUUUCAACAAAUGCAAUACAAUUGUUUCACCAUUUUGAUGACAUAGGUUUUGACAUUUUUUACAUGGACAUCUCACUAAACCUUGGUUUUCUACAUUUAAUGUUGCAUUUUCCACAAACUUUUUUACUCCUUCGCGAUAUUCUUUUGUAUUUCUACAAAUAAACAUAAAAUAUCAAUUAAAAUUAAUAACAUUAUAAGAAAAUAGUAAAUACAUAAUUGUUAUUUGGUGAGUUAAAAAACCUUUUAAGUUGAACCCAAGUUUUGUCCAUCAUCUUAAAGUCCUCACUUGACCCGAGACCAUGGAGCCAUGAAAUAUAUAAAAAAGAAAGGAUAUUUUUAUUAUAUUUACAGCUAAAAGGAAAAAAAAUGCAAGUAAUAGAAAGCUUAAAGCUUUGUAUUAUUUUAUUAUUCCUUUUGAUCUUUUAAAGCACAUAACAAGCUUAAAGCUUUGUACAUACCUGAUGGAUUGAUUUGAGAAGAUGAACCAGCUACUUUUGACCGAUUAGGAAAAGGGAAAAAGAGAAAGUUUAGAGCUGCAGAGAGAAACAAAUGAAAGGGAUUUGGAGAAAAUUUUGGGCUUUUUCUUGGGAUGGGAAGAAUGGGCGCCAAUAUAAAAAAAUUAGCGCCAUUUUGGAGAUUUUUUUAUAAUAAAUUUUAUAACACUUUAUAUAAAGUUAUCUUUUCAAUAUUUAUUUUAUAAUGAUUUUUUUUAUUUCUAUAGCAUUUUAUAAAUGUUAUAAUUUGUUUUUUCCAAUAGCUUUUACAAAGAAUGUCAUAAAAACUAUUAAGUAACAAUUUAUUUUAUAACUUUGUUUACAAAAUGCUAUGCUAACUAACGUUUUUAUAACUUUUAAAAAAUAUGUCAUAAAAGUAAUGUUAUACAUCUAAUAAAAUUUUAAUUUAAUAGCAAUUUUUAUCAAAAAUGCUAUAAAAUGUAUGAUUGUAAUGGCAUUUGAUAUAAAACGCUAUAAAUUAGUGCUAUAAUAAGUCAUAUUUGUUGUAACAAAAUCAUUGGGUUUAACAAGCAAUGUUCAGUUCUGAUUAGCACCUUUGCGGAGGAAAAUAUUUCACAUUAGCUGAUAAUAUAAUACGGACUUGAAGUAAUUCUCAACUCUUAAACUAAUUUUUGAGUAUAAGUUAUAAUCCUAUCUCUCUCUCAGUCUCUCUCUAUUUUUUCUUUUUUUAAACCAUCUAUAUUAAAUAGACUGAAAGGGUAACAUGUGGCAAUUGGCAAACAAUGAAAUGAGGGAUAAGAGAGCAUGAUACGGUAUUGACUUCAAUUUAAUUAAGGUUAUAAAAUUGCUUAUUCAUCUCAAUUAACAAUUUCGCGGCAUCCUUCUUGUUCUAAUACCAAUUCAACAAAUUGUCUAGAUCAUCAUGGCUGGCUAAAUCCUCAAAAUUUCAUGACUCACAUUGACCUAGAUUGUAAUUAUAAUGAUUCUGAAGUCCAUAGACUGCAAAACACUCAGUAAUUUAAAUAUGAUAAUUUUGCUUAUCAAAGAGUCAAAAAUAUUAAACAAAAGCAAUCAUACAUGCAUAAACAAUAAUUAAUACUAACCGCCGCCCUUCUCCGGUUCGUCCUCUCUCCACCAAGUCAAUGGAAUGUGCAAUCCAACGGUGCUGAAAACAUGCGAAAAUAUCAAUUAAAGAUCUGGGCAAUCAAAAAUUUAAUGUAUAAUUAAAGAGUCGUACACGUACCAACGCUCCUUACUUGAAUCACGGUUUAAUUUAACGAUUUGCUAAUUGAUUACUUCACUGAUUAACCAAGUGGCAAUAAAAAAAUUCUUUAAUGAUUGCUAUAUAUACAUUAUAAACGUUUUCAGCUAAAAGUCACUGGCACAUACAUUUCAAUGUGAAAUCUCUUUCUUUUCUUUCGUUAGUAUUCAUGCAUGAUCAGAAGUAAAUUACAUAGAUAAUUUGAUGAGAUGAAGUUCUUUUUUCCUUUGUCAAGGUGCUUUGCUUGGCCAUCAAAUUUCUCUGCAGAGGACACUGUAGGAGGUAAUAUACAAAUACAAAUUAUUGCAUUUGAAAAAAGCACAUAUCUAAAAACAUUUUUCUAGUGUUCAUCCUCAUGUGAUCAUCUCAUACAUACAUACAUAUGGUUCAUUCAUAGAGUUAAGAGUCUUUCUCUCAUGUGAACUUCUGUAUUUUGUUAUAAUUUUGACCAACUUUCUUUCAGAGUUUGCAUAGUCAAUAUAUUUAAAAUUAAUUAUUGUCAAUUUUAUUAGGAUAAAUGCCUCUUCAAUCUUAGGAUUUGGUCAAUUAGGUUGUUGGUUUUUGUAUUUUCAAAAAUUAGUCAAAUAAAUUGAACUUCAUUUCCAUCCAAUAUAAAUUAAUAGUGAAAUUGAACUCAUAUGUUAUAAGUAAAAGUAGAGAAUAAUUAAAUAAAAAUAAAUAAAUUUUAAUGAGAACAAUAUACAACAAGGUGUUUUAAUUAAUUUUUAUAAAUUUAAGAACUAACUAUAUAUGAAAUUAGCUCGAACUUUAAAGUCUAAAGGAGCACUUACCCUUUUAGUUUUUCCUUAAAUGUCUCUUAUAAAUUGGCUUCACAUGUUGUUAUUGUCAACUUAUCAAGCAAUGUGGUCAGGGGUAAUUGGUCAGUAUGAUCACAUCAUUGAUCCUAACAUAUAAGUUAAUUAUUCGUCUUAAGUAAGCUUCAUGUAGUUAACUUUUUCACGAAAUCAGGUGCAAAAAUUUUGAAAAAUAUUAAUGCAAUCUCCUACAAUGAACUGAAAAGUGCCACUAAUGGCUUCUGUUCAUCCAAUAAAGUUGGCGAAGGUGGAUUUGGCUCCGUUUAUAAGGUAUAUUUUCUGUAAUUUUGGUUUGAUUAAUCGAAUUAAUUUUAAAAUAUGUUCAUAAAAAUUAAUUUAUUUCUUGAAUUGUCCUUAAAGGGAAAGCUUCAAGAUGGAACUGUUGUAGCUGUGAAAGUGCUUUCAGUGGAAUCCAAGCAAGGAGAGAAAGAAUUCAUGUCAGAAGUAGCUUCAAUGGCAAAUAUUUGUCACGAAAAUCUUGUAAAGCUUCAUGGUGGUUGCAUUGAAGGGCCUUGUAGAAUCAUUGUCUAUGAUUACAUGCAAAACAACAGUCUCUCUCAAACAUUGCUUGGUAUUUGUAUAUAAGUCUCCCCAUCUUUGAUAUUACAGAUUUGUUUGAAAAUGUUAUUUUGUAAUUUGAUUAGUAUAAAAGCACUUUUUUCUUGUAAGGAAUGAUAUUUUGGCCCCUGUUAAAAAUUAUUUUACCCAUUUUAAUCCUGAUAAGUUUUUAAUAUCCUGUAUUAAUCCUAUGGCAUCUUGACGUUAAAUCAGAAACAUAAAACACACUCGAUGUUGAGCCUUUCAAUAUAGUAGUGUAUAUACAUGUCUGUAAUGUUCUGUUUUCUUAAUUAAUGCAACGUGGUUUCUUGAAUUAAUUAAUAUUUUUUUUAAUUAAUCUUGAAUUAAUGGCAGGUGAGGAGAAAAAUAGAGCUAAAUUUAGCUGGACAGCAAGGCGGGAAAUUGCACUAGGAAUUGCUCGGGGGCUUGCUUAUAUUCAUGAGGAAAUUAAGCCAAGUAUUGUGCAUCGAGAUAUUAAACCUAGUAAUAUUCUUUUGGAUCAAAAUUUUAAUCCUAAAAUCUCAGAUUUUGGCCUCUCCAAGUUAUUCCCAGAGGACAUUACUCAUAUUAGCACACGAGUCGCUGGCACAUUGUAAGUGCAACAACAUACAUAUUAUAAAUUUAGAUUCGAUAUUGAGCUGGUCUCUGCUGAAUCUUUUUAUAAUCAUUAGUCACGUGUGCAUUUACAGUAGUGAACAAUUAAUAUUUGAUUUUUGACAAUCAUUUUUUAUCUAAUAAUUAUCAAUCACAAUGUUGUAAAAACUCAACACAAUGCUGAUAGCUUAACAUUAAAUUCAAAUUCACAAAUUAAUUUUAUCUGUUUAUUGUAUAAGGUUGUUGAAAUUAUUUAUGCUCACUUAAUUUUGUACAAAUUAAAUUAGAGGCUAUCUCGCUCCAGACUAUGCUGUUAGUGGUCAUUUAAAUCCAAAAUCAGAUAUCUAUAGUUUUGGGGUGCUACUUCUUCAAAUAGUCACCGGGCAAGCAGCAGUUCAUUUUGACAAAGAGCUUGGAGAGUAUUAUCUAGUGGAGAAGGUAAUAUGUGUUUAUAUACUUAUAUGUAUCUAUUCAUAAUCCGUUUUGUAGAUGAUUCUUUCUUUCCAAAAAUGGUACCAUAUUUGAUAUCAUAAAGUGUGGGGACAUCCAUACUUUACAAAAUGUGAAUUGGAGAAUCAAUACACCACCGGUGUUUAGUAGUAAAAAAAUAAUGAAAACUAUUAAUGCGUUGCUCCGAUAUCAAUUUUGUAAAUUGCAUCUAAAAAUUUUCAGCAAAUAAAGUGUAUAAGACAACGGAGAAAAUUGGAGAUUUAAAUAUUUCGUGCAAUCAAGCAGGCUUGGGAAAUGCACAACACAGACAAGCUUCAACAUUUAGUGGAUCCAAUGCUAUGCGGUAACUUCUCAGGAAAUGAAGCCGUUCGAUUCCUGAAGGUUGGCCUACUCUGUGUACAAGAAAAAUCUAGCCUCCGACCUCGCAUGUCGACGGUGAUCGAGAUGAUCAACGGUGACGUCGACAUCGACGAUGACGUGGAAAUAUGGGAGCCGGGGCUUAUCAAUGAUAUCAUGGAUGUGAAACUACGCUAUUAGCAACGAUCCUACGAAGCAUGGUAGAAUGCUGCGGCACCCAAAUGUCUGAAGUCAAAUUUUUUAAAAUUUAUUUAUUUAUUUUUAACUUAUAUCUGAUUUUCAGAUAUUUACAUUUGAAUUAAAAAAAAAAAAGAGAAGUUUUGUGAUUUUUAUUUGAAUAAGAAUUAAGAAGUAGGGUUGGCAAAACCCCGAACUGGGUCUGGGUAUCGCAAUGCCCGAACCCGGCCCGAAUGCAAUUUUUAGAUGCCCAGGCCAGGUUUUAAUCCAGGUACCUGGAUUUUAUAUGUGUUAAUAUUAUAUGUGUAUACACGACACUCGGGUGCAGUCCGGGUCCGGACCGGGCGAGUAUUUUUGCCACCCCUAACAAGAAGUAAAUAUUAUAUUCAACAAUAUCUCUAUUAAAUAUAUUUAUUUUCUAAAAUAUAAACCUAAUCUUUUUUUAUAAAUUAAAAAGAUACAUAUGUCAAAUAACUAUAUUUAAUAUUUUUUUCAUUUAUAAAAAAAAGAUACCAUUUAUAUUUAGAUAUUGAAAAAAGAAAAGCAUGUUAUACAUUUGUGUUUGGACCUAUUCAAAUUUCAGCCAAAUUCAAAUUUAUUCAAAUUUAAAAAAAAAACACUACAAAAUCUUCCAAUUUGAGGGACAAAAUAUUAUUUGUAAAGUUAUGAUGAGGUUCAAUUUAUAAUUCAUGCAAUUUUGAAUUUAAAAUUGUGAGGGUUUGACAGAACUGUUUUUUCCUAUUGUGUGUGUGUGUGUGGACACCCUAAUUUUCUUCUUAUACGGAUAUGCUAUUAAGCCAUAAGCCAUAAGCCAUAUAUUCAGUGUUUCAUUCAAUAUAAGCGUGUGCGUGCGCGUGUGUGUGUGUGUGUGCGUGCGUGCAUGUGUGUGCAUGUGUGUGUGUGUGCGCGUGCGUGUGUGUAUGUGUGUGCAUGCGUGCGUGUGUGUGUGUGUGUGUGGGUGUGCGUUCGUGCGUGCGCGCGCGCGCGCGCGCGUGUGUGUACACUGUAAUUUUCUUCUUAUACAUAUAUGGUUUAAUAUAAAAUCAUAUGGUUUAAUAACGUAUCUACAUUGACUUCAUUAAAUCAUAUGAUUUACUAAUGUGUUCACAUAAAAAAAUAAAAAUGAGGGCACCCACAUCAAAAUAGGACUCUCUCUCUCUCUCUACACACAGAGAGAGAAAGUAAAAUCUUUAUAAAUUAAUACUCAAUAAAUUAAUAAUCUCGAUUAUAUAAUAAAUUUUCACGGUCAUCACUAGGUCAAUGGACUGAACUAAUAAUUUUGAUAAAAUAAUGAGAUAAUACUUUUUAUAAAAAAAAAAAGAAUCUUAUAACUAUGUAAACUAGUAAAUUGUUUAUUUAUUGAUUAUUUAAUUUCUCUUUUAAUUAGUAAAUUUUAUAUGUUUCCAACCCUAUUAAUCUACAGAGGUUGUACUGUAUAUAUAUAAGAGAUUCGAACUCUCUAGUUUAGAACUAAGGAGGGGAUGUCGACAAAUCUAAGUAAAUGGUUGUUAGCAAUUAUGUAACAUAUUUUUAAAGGCGCAUCCCAAACAAAUAUAAUUAUUAAGUUUAUUACAAGGAUUAAUAUGGUAUUAUUUGUUAACUACAAAAAACUUACGUACACUGGAAGUACGAAUAAUCAACCAAAAUGACAUGUAGAGGGAGAACCAUGUGACCCAGAUACCAGAUCUGUGCAAAUUUAAAUUUGGCCUUAAGUUUAAAAUAUUUAUGCCAAAAUCUAUUCAAGUUUUAACUUUGGUGGUAUUAUAGUCGUUAUUAUUUGCCCCCUCAUUUUUAUUGAUUUUAUUUGAUAACCAACUUAAGUUCAUGGCUUCUUCCUUUUGUACCCUUCCGAAUGAAAAUCCUAUUUCUGCCUCAGUGCCCCAAAUGACGCGUAUACAAAAGACAUAUAUAUCACAUGAUUCUAUUGGUUAAUUGCAUAUGUAAAAUUAAGAUUCAACACGUUUUCAACGUUAUUAGAAGGGCACUAGUGAUAAUUUUUAACCAUAAGGGCCAGGAAUCACAAUUGCAAACAAUAAAAUAGAGAUAAAAGUGCAUGAUUUUGGUAGUAUUGAUUUCACUGCAAGGAUAUUAAUUUCUUUAAUAUUCUUUGGCUUAUUAAUUAAUUACCAAAUUGAUCGGUCCCCAAGCAGCACACAAAUUUGAAUUUUGAAAAUGAAAGUCAAAAAUAUUGAAAAAUAAAAUGAUAAUUAUGUGCAAAGAGAUAGUAUUAAGGAUAUUAACGAAUAUGAAGAUUCAAUUGACAAAUUCUAGAGUAUCACGGCUCGCAAAAGUUUCAGGAGUCAGGACUUACCACUUUGACCUUGACAUGAUCCAUAGACUGCGUCACACGUUUGCAGUUUUAUACUAUUUCUGCUUAUUUCUGGAUCUAACUUCGAUGUAAGAAAGGAAAAAAAAAAUAAAUAAAUAAAAAUAACGUGCAGAAAUACAAUAAUUAGUACAAGCCGCCACCCUUCUCCCUUUAGUCGUUCUGUCCAUGGAAUGCACAAUCCAAUGGUGCUAAAAAACAUGCGAACAUAUCAAUCAAGAUCUGAGCCGUUGAAAUUUUCAUACAUGGAUUAAGAAACAGUCUUUUAUAUAUAUAUAUACACACACACCACUCCUUGAAUAAUUUAGUUUUAGCGACCCAAUUGGGAAUAAAAUAAUUCUUAAAUGAUGAUUAUAUAUAGGGGUGGGCAUAAACCCACAACCCAUGGGUUUAUCCAAACCCAAACCAAAUUAAAUGGUUUGGGUUGGGCAAAUCAUGAAAAUGGAUUAGAUGUGGAUUUUAUAUAGAAAACCAUUUUAUUAUGGGUUGGGUAUGGUUUACCCAUGGGUUAUGAACAAAACCCCAACAUUCAAAUUUUUCAAAUGAAAUAAAUGAAAACAAAAUAAAUGAACAUAAAUAGGUAAAAUAUUUUAUUAUGGAGGAAAGUGGUAAUCUCCCUAAAAUUAAGCAUAUAAGUAGACAACAUAACGCAAAACUACCAAAACGAUAAAUAAAAAUAAAUAUUGCAUAAUUAAAUCAACAACAAGUGGCAAAAUUUAUUAUUAGAUUGUUAAUGUCAUGUUUGUGAAAGUUUAUUAUUAAAGUGUACGUUCUUAUUUAUUGAGAAAUAAUAAUUUUUGUGAUUAAACGUUAUUUUGAUUUUCUAGUAUUCUUUAAUUUAAGGAUUAAGUUAUUGUAAAAUUUAUAGUUUCUAUCCACUAUAUUUUUUUUAUUUUAAUAUCAAUUUAAUAAUUAAUAACAAUUAAUAAUUAUUAUAAUUUUGAUAUAAUUAAAUUUUAUUAAAAUAAAAAUUAUUUUGAUAAUAAAAUUCAAACCAAACCCAAAUGGUUUGGUUUGGGUUGGGUUAAAAAUAUUUGGGUUGGUUUGGGUUGGAUCCAAAUUUUUAUGAUUUAGUUUGGGUUGACUUAAAAUCCAACCCAUGCCCACCCCUAAUUAUAUAUAUCGUUUUGAGCUAAUAAUUCUUAGUUGGCACAUUUUGUUGCGAAGUAGUAUCCUUUUUCUCAGUCCUUUGCAAAUAUCCUUGCAACGAAUUUAAUUCAGAAGUCAAUAACCAGUCUCGUCCUGGCUGUUUUGACGUAAAUGUUCUUUUUUUAUUUGUCGAGGUGCUUCUCUUCUCCAUCAAAACUCUCUACAGAGAACACUGUAGGAGCUAAUUAUGUAUAUAUAAAUUAAUUUAUUUGCAAAAAAAAAAGUACAGUAAUUGAUGAAAAGAAUUUUCUGUCAUUGGUUUUUUCUUCAUCUACAUCCUAUCAUCAUCUCGCGUACAACAUUUUUUGGUUCAUUCAUAACGAGUUAAAAAAGUCCUUCUCUCAUAUGAACUUUUGCAUUUGAUUAAAACUUGGGUUAAAAACAACUCCCAUAUAUAUAUAUAUAUAUAUGUUUAUUAUCGUUGAAAAAUAAAAAUUUGCUAUACUCUCUUACAAGAAGUUGCACAAUGCAUUUGCAUUAACCUGUACAUGAGAAUUCUUCCUAUCUAAUACUAGAAAAUAACAUUAAUUUGAUUCUCAUUCCGCAAAGGGAGGCGCAAGCUUGGGGGUAUUUAUUCAUAUUGCAAGCAUAUGCAUAAUAAUUUAUUGUUUUUUCUGUUUUUACUUUUUUUUUAAAGGUAGGGGUGGAUAAAGCCCACAUUAAUUUUUUAAUUUUAUGUUUUCAGAUUCGAACUCAUGUGGCUUGUAAAAAAUGCUGUUUAAAAAUUAGUUAGCGAAGCUCCUCAGACAAAAAUUAAUUAGAGUGUAAUUCCGCUGCUUCAGCAUAUAUAUAGCUAACUUUUUCAUUAAAUCAGGUGUACAGAUCCUGAAAAAUAUUAAUGCGUUCUCCUACAAGGAACUAGAAAUUGCCACCAACGGCUUCUGUAAAUCCAAUAAAAUUGGCGAAGGAGGAUUUGGCUCCGUGUAUAAGGUAUAUUCAUUCUCUAAUUUUACAUGAAUUGACCUAUAUAUGAAGCUUCAGAAUAUAUGCAUAGACUUUGAUUUCAUCAUUAUUCAAUUGGAUUUUAAAGGGACGGCUUCAAGAUGGAACUCUUGUAGCUGUGAAAGUGCUUUCAAUGGAAUCCAAGCAAGGGGAGAAAAAAUUCUUGUCCGAAGUCGCUUCCAGGGCGAAUGUUUGUCACGAGAAUCUCGUUAAGCUUCACGGUGGUUGCAUUGACGGGCCUUCCAGAAUUCUUGUUUAUGAUUACAUGCAAAAGAACAGUCUAUCUCAAACAUUUCUUGGUAUACAUUUCUAUCUUUCCAUCUUCGAUAUUACGGCGCUUUUGAGACUGUCAUUUUUAUAAUUUCUUUAUGCAAAGGUGCUUGUAAUGUUAUAUGAUUAUAAAUUUUGUUUCUUGAAUUGAUGCUAGGUGAGGAGAAAAAUAGAGCUAAGUUUAGUUGGACAGCGAGGCGAGAAAUUGCACUGGGAGUUGCUCGGGGACUUGCUUAUAUUCAUGAAGGAAUCAAACCACAUAUUGUGCAUGGAGAUAUUAAACCUAACAAUAUUCUUUUGGACAAAAAUAUGAAUCCUAAAAUAUCAGAUUUUGGCCUCUCCAAGCUACUUCAUGAGAAUGCCGCUCAUGUUAGUACACAAGUAGCAGGCACACUGUAAGUAUAUAUAUUAUAAUACAUUGUUUUUUGAAAUUAAAGGUAUCAGAUUAUUGAAACUGUAUGUUAUUUUUUUAACAUAUAGCUCCAACUAUGCAGAUAGCGGACAUUUAAAUCCAAAAUCAGAUGUUUAUAGUUUUGGAGUACUGCUUCUUCAAAUAGUCACUGGAGAAAAAGCAGUUCAAUUCCACCCAGAGCUUGGAGAGUACUAUCUAGUGGAGAAGGUAAUAUACUUUGUACAAGAUUUUUUAUUUCUAAGGAAGGAAAAAAAAAAAAGACAGAGAGAGAACCAUAUUUGAUUAUUUGAUACCGUAAAGGUACUUCAUCAAGUUACUCUCUUCCACGAACGUCGUCACUUUACAAAAUUUUUUUAGCAAUGCAUUGCUUCAAUAUGAAUUUUGUAAAGAGCACACAUUCACUCUAGAAAGUUUUCGUUCAAAAGGUUUAUUACAUAAUAUAUCCAUGUGUAUACAUGCAUAUAUGAUAACAAAGCAAAUUGAAAUAGGAAAUAUCUAUGCAUCCAAGCAGGUUUGGGAAAUGUACAAUACAAACGAGCUUCAGCAUUUAGUGGAUCCUAUAUUGUACGGUAACUUCUCAGAAAAUGAAGCCAUUCGGUUCCUGAAGGUUGGCCUACUAUGUGUACAAGAAAAUCCAGCCUCCGACCCUGCAUGUCAAUGGUGAUCGCGAUGAUCAACGGUGAGAUUUACAUCGAUGAUGAUGUGAAAAUAUGGGAGCCACAGCUCAUCAAUGAUACCAUCGAUGUGAAACUACGAUAGCAAAAGCUCCUGACAAAGUAUCAUGUCCAGAACACACGGCCAGCAGUUGUACAUGCAAUAGAGAUUAAUUAUCUGACAAAAUGUUGGGCUUAAAUGUCAGUAUUGUAAAGUUAUAGAUCCAAAAUGUAAAAAAAGAAAAAAUAAGAAAGUUUGUUUUAGUGAUUCGAUAUGAUUUUGGAUCAAUAUUAAACGCUGUGUUGUAUCUAUUUCUUUUCUUAGUGAAUUCUUUAUUAUUUGUUUAAUUUGAUUGAGAUUCUAGCUACAAUUAAGGAUUUACAACUUUUAAAAUAAAUUUCAGAAAUACAUUUACCGGAAAGGGCAAUCCUAUUCUGUGCUGAUGGCAGCUCAAGCCCGGCCCGGCCCAUUUGUUAUCCCUAACCAAAAGUUCAAAACCACUUUUCAAUUUUGCUUUUUCCAGACAUAACUUGAUAAAGUGAGGUUUACUCAUGCCAUAAAAUUCAAAAGAAUUGAGUUGUGUGUUGGCAGUGCGUUAAGUAUUUGAUUACUGUGUUGAAUAUGAUAUAAUUUUUUUUUAAUUUUUAAGAUAUUUUGUAUUGAUCCUUGAUAAUAAUUUUUUAUAUGUAUCAACUAAAUAAUCAAUCAUAUGAAAAAUUUUAUAUCCACGAUUUAAAUAGAGGAGGAUGUAUUGAAACAAAAUAAAUAAUCUAAAUAUUACUAGCCAUAUAUGGAUAAGUUUUAGUAUUAGAUUGGGAUAAUUUAUAAAAUAAAAUUAUUUUCAAUCUUUUCCGUGGGGUAUAUUUAUUAAUAGGGCACUAUGACAAAAAAAAAUCAUAUUUCUUUUUUUAAAAAAAUUAUUAGUUGAUUAAAUUACAUAAAUCGCAAAGGCAAUAUUCAUCAACUAAGGCCUGUUGGGUGCAGACCAAUUUCGUUCUUAGUUAUUGGGGGCUUCGGUAGGGCGAGGGCGAGCUGUUUGAUAGUGACUUCUUCCGUUUGGUGGGGCGACGAAAAGCUACUUCAUUCUAAGAAACAGCCAAAAGCUCAAGAGGAUCGCCUACUAUGGCUCCACAUGAGAAAACAAUAUGAAUAUAACCUACGUGUCCAAUUGAACUAUGAGCUAGAAGUCUUUUUACUUUCAUUUGCGUCAUGGCGGCCAAUGCCCUAAGAUCAUAGAUAGAGAUGGCAACUGGAUCGCUCCAUAAUGAAUAUUCACAAUAUUUAUCCAAUUAGAUCGGAUAAUAUCCAUUCAAAAAUUUUUGGAUCUUAAAAUUGGUAUUUUAAAAUUAUAUCUAGAUGGAUAUGGAUAAUUUUUUUUACCCAAUGGAUAUUCGUUUAACCCAACACAAGUUUAAAAAAUUUUAAUUUUAUAAAAUUAAAAAUUAAAAAUAUAAUAAACAAACAAUUGUAAAAAUAUUAUAUUAACUAGUGAAAAUUUUAAAUUCCUCUUAUAUUAAAAAUUAAAGUUUUCAAAAUUAUCCUUUAAUGACCGCCAUUUUAUUAUAUAUAUAUAUAUUACUAAUAUAAAUAGUUUAAUAGCCAAAUUUGAUAUUGGAAUUUUAACUAUUUUAUAUUAUUAUUUUUAUAUAAUAAAAAUAAAAUAUCUAUGGAUAUCCAGGGAUCUCCAUAGCUAUAUGGAUAAAAUCCAUAUCCAUGUCCAAUAUUAAAUAUUAGAUAUGGAUAUGGAUAUAUCCAUUAUGGAUAAUUAUGGAUUUGUGUUUGGAUGGAUAUUAUCCAUCCAUAAUUGGAUAUUUGUCAUCCCUAAUCAUAGAAGCAAUGCUGCAGAAAAAGAAGAUCCGUUGCAGUGUGGUUGGUAGUUGUAUCUUAAAAGAUACGUCACUAAAUUAUUAGGCAAACACUUAUUACUGUGGUUUGGAAAUUAGAUUGAUUUGAUCUAAUACUUGUUUGAUAAAAAUUUAUAUCUAUGCAUAUAUAUAUAAAUUGUUUUUGCAAAAUUUUAAUUUGAAAGUUAUAUUUACAAUAUAACAUUAACUUUUAUUUUAUAGUCAGUUUUUUUUUUCCUUUUAGAAUUGCUGUAGAUUUUAAGUCACAGUAUCUAAAUACCAAAAAGGUCCUUUCUUCUAUGCUUUCAAACUUUUAAAAGUGAGCCCAUUUAAAGGAAAAAAAAUUCAAUAACAUUAUGCAAAUUUUCCCCAUUUCAUAUUAAGUGCUAUAAGUUACUUAUUUCAUAAAUUUUGACAAAAACCUUGAUAAGUUAUUUAAAAGUUGCUUAUUUUAUAAGUUUCUCCAUUUUAACAAAAAAUUUUAAAAGCAAAUAUGAGAUUACUUUUUAUAAGCAGUUUAUCCAAUAAGCAAUCUCAUCUUUUUAAAAUUUCUAUUAUAAUAUUAAUAUUUUUAAUAAAAAGACAAUCAUAUCUUAUUUUUCUAUAAACCAUGAAAAUUUAUAUUAUUAUAAAAAAUAAGAUUAAAAAUAAUAAUAAUCAAAAUUAUAUAAUUCAAAUCUAUUUAAUAGAAUUCUAAUAAAGUUAACAUAAUUAUCUAAUAAUUAUUAGGAAUAUAUAUUAUUAAUAGAAAAAUAUCUAUAUAUUAGAAAUAAAUAGUAAUUAAUAAUUAAUAGAAAUAGAAUGUUGAAAACUAUUCAAUAAUGAAUUUAAAUUAAUAUUGAAAUUUGUAAUAUGCACUUAGCUUUCAUUUAAAUUGGUUUAAAUUGGUUCAGUGGUGGAAUUUGAUGGAAUUACCCUAAAGAGAGUAUCUGGCCUAAUUUUAGAUAAAGAUUUUCUAGCCAUUUCAAGGAAAAAAUAUGGAUAUAAUCAAAUGGUAAAAUUUUUCUUUGCCAAGAAGAGGACCCAUGAUAUAUAAAUAAAGAUUAGUUUAAACUUAUAUCUACCUUGGUCAUUAUAUAAUGAAACAACACUUUUAUAAUAAAAUAAAAUCAAAUUCAUGUACUCUAUUUUUCAAAUUCACACCUAAUGCAACAACACACUUUACUAAGCACUUAGCUACCUUUUUAAUAAGCAAGCUCAUUUCAUUUACAUAGAACAAAUACCAUAUUUCUCCAGCUGUCGCAAUAUCAAACUAGCCCUUUGUCUACCACUUUUACCCACAUGUUCUAAUUAUGUUUAUGACAUUAAUGCACUUAUUUGUUAAUUAAAUCUUCUUUAAUUCUAAGAACUUAAAAAAAUCCAAAUUUGUAGAAUGAUUAGUAGAAGUAUAUAAAUCGAUAAUGGAUAGUGAAAUGGAGAUAAAAGAGGACGAUAUAUUGUAUUGAGUUUAUCCAAGUUUCAUGUGAACUUAUAAUAAUAAUAAAACGCCAUUAUAUACUUCUAGAAAAGUCUAUUACUUUUUUAAAUUUCAAGGGUGUUGAAAUGCUUUAAAAUGCAUCGAAUGUGAUUUAUUAGGGAAAGAAUAUUUCAACUUAAAAUUUUGAUAUAAAAUUUGAGCCAUCGAUAUAAUAUAAUUUUAUGGUGAGUGAAUUGGUUGUUGGAUCAUAAACUUGAUCCACACAACUUUGAAGCCCAAAUUACCUUUGAUCUAGCUAAAGGAAGCUUCUUUAGGUAAUUAAAAAUUGCGUUAAAUGUGAUAAUGUGGUAAGUAGAAUUUGUGAUGUUGGGUAUAGUUGUUAGGUUUAAUAUGAUUUGUGUGGUAGUUAGGCUAGUGUAUGGUUGUGAUUAAGUUGUAACAAGUAUAAGUACCUCAUCUCUUAUAUGGUUUAAGCAAACAAGAAGUAGUAAAGCUUUUUAGUUCUUAAAGAAUUCUAAUUGAGGAGUUGUAUUGAGUUCACAAGAAAAGAGAGUAUUUAAUCAUUCAAAUUUUCCAACAUUGGCAUCAUUAAUUGCUAUUUUGACUUUCAAUGUCUACCAUUGAAUUGUGUGAGAUCAAUAAUUGAAAUUUUGUAUAAAAAUUUUAAGUUAAAAUAUCCCCCAAUUUAUUAAAUCAUUAGUUUGGGAUGUAGCACUGUUCAAGAGUAUUUUUAAUGGAUUAGGUUAUUAUAACUUAAAUUUCUAUAUAAAUUUUGAACUAUUGAUUUCAGAAAAUCUGAUGUUGGAUGAAUAACUAUUAUUAAAUAUUAGUUUGAUUUUUAAUAUCUACCAUUGAAUUGCUUGAAACUAAUGGCUCAUGAUUUGUGUCAAAAAUUUUAAUAAAAAAUAGGCCCUCCCAUUUUCUAUUUAUUUUGCUUUUCUUAUUUUAGUUGAAAUAUUGUACUUACUUGGAUGUGAUAUGUGAGCCAUUUUUAUUAUUUAUAACCUUAAGAAUUAUUUCAUAUGUUGGAGUUGAUGGUUACUCAAAUCUCAUAUGCCUAGCCCUACUUAACUCAGGAUUCAUUCUAGUCGAUGUGGGACAAUGAACUUAACAGUUUAGACUACGUCACCAUAGUUUCAUUAUAGGUCAUUUAUCCCUCUAUUAAGUUGAGCCAACAUUUGCAAGGUUAUUUAUUCCCCUGUUAAAUUAAGGCUAGUACCUACUAGAAUGAGAUCUUUAUAAUGCAACACCAUGUCAAAAGAAUUAAACGUGUUUCAAUGUUCAAGGCUUGAAAUAUUUUAGCUACAUAAAUUCUCCCUUAAUUAAGAACGAUUGAGUGGAGCCAGUUUGCAGUCCUUUUCUCUGGUGAAAUGUGAGUAGAGCAGAUAUUCCUCGUAUAUUUGUAAAGAUAAACAAUCUGGUGGAGUGUUUCAUAGAAUUUAUAGUGUGUUUACUUGCGGGUUUAGGGAAUGAGAAUGAAACCCAUAUUUACUUGGCAAAAUGUAAUUUGUGAAUGAGAAUAAAAUAUGUGGGUCUCACAUAAUUUGAGAAUAAGAAAUGAGAAUCUCAUUCCCAUGAGGGGAGGGGGGUUGGGAAUGAGGAUUCCCAUUCCCUUAACUUACUUUUGUAUCCCUCUAACAGAUAAGGAAGAUGAAUUUGAUGCGUUUGUUGUUGAGGAUAUGCUGCUGUACCGUACAUCCGCCUUGGCCGUACAGCAGUCAAAUCACAAUUAAUUUUAUUAUUUUAAAUUUCAUUAUUAUUAUUAUUAUUGAAUUUUAUUAACUUUAUCAUUUUAGUUAUUAUUAAUUAUUGUUAUUAAUUUUUUUAUAUUAUUAACAUUUAUUAUUAUUAAUUUUAUUUUUUUAAUUAAUAUCAUUUUAUAAUAAUAUUUAUACAUGCAUCUAGUUAAUGAAAAUUACAUUAUUUAAUAUUAUUGGUAAAUUGAUUCUCAUUCUCAUUCCAUGAAGUAAACGCACCAUUAAUGUAAAGUUGUUGUCUUAGUUAAUUGUCUAAUUGUAAACAUCAAUAAUUGUUUGUUGGAAUAAUAGUUGUAAAUAUUAGUUGGGGGGGGGGGGGGGCUUGAGAUAUUUUUAGGGCAAAGCAAUUUAGACGACUGAAACUCCUUAGUCUCUCUGGCUUAUUUACCACCCAAUUGAUGAUCCAAAUUACGCAAGCACACAAAUUUUGAAAAUUGAAAGCGAAUACCAAGUUAUUCUGAAAAGGUUUGGGGAUUACAUAAUUGACAACUCCCUUUAUUGACAUGCAAAAGUAGCAAUUUGACAAAUUCUUCAUAUUUUGUCAAAUUCUCAAAGUUUAAGGACUCACUUUGACCUUGGACUGUAGUUUGGAUACAGUAGGGUUGAAUAAUUCAAUUAAUCCAUUGUUGAAAGCCUGGCUGCUGAGUCAAUGAUUGAACCCGCUUUCUGUUUCUCAAUCUUAGGUAGGGCACAAGUGCCUCGUGUUCUUCCGAAAUAAUUACAUUGAACUACUAAUGGGAAAAUUAAGAAAAUUUGGGACGGUAAUUAGAUCAACUAGUGACAUUUUACACAAAUUAAAGGUUUAAAAUUUAAAUCUUGCUUAUCUAUGUUAUAGUUACAAGAGUGUUAAUAAGAUAAAAUUAGCUCAAAUCGAAUUCAACUUGAUAUUAGCUCGAUAUCUGAAGUUAAUGAACACGAUGAGAAAUCAAAAUUAAUUGGCAAGAGAGUGGUCUGGCUUUCAAUAAGUUGAUACAGAAAUUAACCCAUAAAAUAGUUAAGAGUUUGUUUCACUAAAGAGAUAGGAGUAAAUGAUAAAAAAAUAUAAAUCCUGCGAAGGAUGUGUGUAUUUUAUUAAUUGGUUAAUUUUUUAAACAAUCAAUUCUCUUUUGCUUUUUACCCUAAUCAUCUAGUACAACAUUUUUUUAAUUAAAAAAAAAACAUAAUACAGCAUUUCUGGUUUGCCAAUUGUGUAUUUUCAAGAGGCAGAAAAAGUCUUAUAAAAGUUCACUUAUUUAAUGAGUGCACGCAUCUUUAUCCCCUCAACGUAUCACAAUAAUUUAAUCAGAUGGCAUUUGUCAAGAAAACAAAUAAGUCAUCAAUCAAGUAAUCGGCUAUUAUGAAUGACCUUAUUGAUGCUGCAGGCUGGCUGGCCAUUAUUGAGAAAGCCAUCCAUAGAUAUAAGAUAUAUACAUUUGCUUUGAAUAUAACCUACAAACAUAUUAAAAUUAUCGUCUUUUAUAUGUAUGAUUAUUUAUACGUCACUUUCAUGAUAAUUUCUAGAGCUACCUGUUUUAAUAGGUCAAAAAAUAUGUCUCCUAAUCAAACGUCAUGCAUGGUUAUUUCAUCAUUCUCAAUACUCAAUAAUUAAUUAUUCAAGAAAAGUACAGGGGUACAAGUUUUCAAAAAUAUCCUACAACGAACUGAAAUUGCUACCAACGGCUUCCGUACAUCCAAUAAAAUUGGCGAAGGUGGCUUUGGUUCCGUUUACAAGGUAUGCAUGUUCAUACUCUAAUUUUAAUUUUUACAUUAAACUUAUAGGUUUUGGUUUGAUUAAUUCUAAUAACUUCAAAAUAUAUACAUAGAAACUUAAUUGAUUUGUUGAAGAAUGGAUAUUUGAUCUUAAAGGGAAGGCUUGAAGAUGGAACAGUGGUUGCGGUGAAAGUGCUUUCAGUGGAAUCCAAGCAAGGAGAAACAGAAUUCAUGUCGGAAGUUGCUUCCAUGGCCAAUAUAAAUAUUUGUCACGAAAAUCUGGUAACCUUCAUGGUGGUUGCAUCGAUGGGCCCUCCAGAAUUCUUGUUUAUGACUACAUGCAAAACGGCAGUCUCUCUCAAACGUUUCUUGGUACAAUAUAAAUUUUCCCUCUAUCUUUUAUAUUAGGAUAUGUUUGAGAAUGUUAACAUGUUGUUACUUAAUUGAACUAGCAUCCAACUUUUCCCCUUCAGGAUGAAUGGCUUUUUUCCAAAUGUAAUUCUCACGCUCUGAUACUAUGAAAAUUUUUUGAAAUUGUUGAAUGAAAACUGAAUUAGUUUUCUCUACUUUUAUUCAAUCGAUACAGUGUUUAUAUACAUGAAGAUGUGCAAUUUUUGAGUGAUUAUUUGAAACCCGUGGCAGCAGAUCAAAUGUCCGAUUGCCCACAUGAUUCUUUGACGGGUUGAUGCUUGAAUUGUGGAGUUGAUUUCCUAACAAUAAUCUGUCCCUAUUUAUUUAAUGAUACGUGUAAUGUGUCAUAUAUUAGUUGACUCUAUAUAUCAUUCACAAUUAAUAUGCCACUGUUUUGGUACCUAGCAUUAGAUGAGGGGAUACAAACGAUACAUCUUAAUUAUGUAAGUAUAAUAUUACUCAUUUCAUCGUUGAUCUAUAGUCGAUUAGUGAUGCAAAUCAGUCAUUGGACUGGUGAGCACCACUUCAAGCUUCCAUAGAGGCUCUUUUUCUUUUCACAAAACUAUGGAAAAUGGAUAAAUUUAUCUCAAUAUAUGUUGUCAGUGGGAGUAAAGUUUAUCAGCAAAUUUAUGGGCUGUACCACAAAUGCAUGUAUAAUUUAUAUCUUUAGAUAGUAACUAUUCCAAAAAAAUAUUAGUGAUGCAAAUUUUGUAAUUAUAAUUUUACAAGUGUUGCAGUAUACUCAUAUUGUUUAUUGAAUUAACCAUAGGUCAGUAGAAAAAUAGAGUUAAAUUUAACUGGAUAGCGAGGCGAGAAAUUGCAUUAGGAAUUGCUCGAGGGCUUGCUUAUAUUCAUGAAGAAAUAAAACCAACAAAUUGUGCAUCGAGAUAUCAAAGCUAACAAUAUUCUUUUGGAUCAAAAUUUCAAUCCCAAAAUAUCAAAAUUUGGCCUCUACAAAUUAUUCCCAGAAAAUAUUACUCAUAUUAGUACACAUGCUGCUGGCACGUUGUAAGUGCAGCAUAUAUAUAUAUAUAUAUAUACUUAAAAAAUUUAUCAAGAACUUAAAUAAAAUGUUAUUUCUCUUAAGAUAUUAUGUACUUAAUGUUUUUUUAACUUUUUUGUUAAUAUAGAUUAUUUUAUGUUCUAAAUUAGGGGCUAUCUUGCUCCAGAAUAUGCAAUAACCGGACGUUUAACUUGCAAAUCAGAUGUAUAUAGUUUUGGGGGGCUACUUCUUGAAAUAUUCGGUGGACGAACAGCAGUCGAUUUUGACAUAGAAAAGGAAAGCAUUUUCUAUUUAUCUCCUAGGAUAAAGCCACGAGGAUGCUUUACUUUGUUCAAAAAAAUCAGCACAAAAAAUAAAUUAUGAAAAUGGCAUUUCAAACAUGAAGGCCCAUUGGUGCAACUAAUUAAUGUGGUGCACUGGCUAGCUAGACAUGCUGUCGAUGAGCUAUGGAGAUUGACAUGUCAUGUACUCAAUCCACUAGUGAUUGGAAGAGCGAUCAGAGCUCCAUAUAAAAUUACUAAGGGGCCUUUGGUUCAAAAUGUACAUUUUGAAUUCCUAAAUUGAUCCUGCUUUUGGACUAUUUUCAUAAAUUUUCCAAAUAAUAAUAAUAAUCAGUAGAGUUGAGCGGUGGACUUCUUGACCUGGUCCGCUAGUAUGGAAAAGAGAAAGAAGCAAAUAGAGUAAAAGAGAGAGAAGAGAGAAAGAAUUAUAAUAUUGAUUAUCUGCAUAUUACUUGAAUAAAAUAAACUAUUAAUUAUGAAUAUCUUCUGAGACGAAGUUGUGAUGAUGUCGAAAUUUUGGAUUAAGGCACAUGUUCAAUUAAUCUGUAAUAGAAAUGUACGUUGUUGAUUGAUGGCAACACUUCCAAUGAGUAGUUGUAGAAAUUUAAGUUGCAAUACGAGUUUGUCAUACCAUUAAUUCCACUUAUUUUUGGUCUUCGGAUUAAAGUCAGCAGGAAAUUAAAUAUAAUUUUAGACCAGCCGCCAGGCCCGCCACCCCACUCUCUUUAAUUUCCCACUCAAUUUGUCCAUGAAUUGAAAUGCAUUGUCCCCCACUUAAUCCGGUUUAAUUGUGACUCCACUCUCGACCCAAUCGGCAAUAAAAUAUUUCUCAUUUUUAUGAUCAUUUAUAUAUAAACCUUAAAUUAGCUAAGAGCCACUUAACUCAUCACAUUUUGUUGUAAUGUCGAGUGUCUCUUUUUAUCUUUCUUUCAUUUGUAUUUGACAAAGCCGCAGGUGUUGGCAUCCGCGGCCAUGGAAGUUCAGAAGUAAUAACUGAUAAAAAAAUUCAAUUUCCUGCAAGCCCUGCAUAUUUGAAUUUGAUGAAAUGAAGUCCAUUUUUUCUUGCUUUUCUUUUCCAUCAAGAGUCUCUGCGGAGAACACAAUAGGAGGUAAUUUAUAAAUUUAUCUGCAAAAUUAAAAAAAAAAAAUCUCUUUUCACCUGUCUUUUCUUCAUCUUCAUCUGAUCAUUUUAUGUAACAUUUCUGGUUCUUUCAUAGAAAGCUACAUAUAUAGAAUCAUUAGUUGUGUUAUGUUUUUAGUGCCCUUAUCUAGAGAUUAGAGUCUUACCCUCGAAUGAAUUUAUGCAUUUUUUAAAAAAAAAUUGGAGAACCAGUUCUUCCUAUAACAAAUUGUAAAAAAAAUAAAAGUUUGUUCAACUCGUGGCAUAAUUAAAUUAUGAAAUUAAUGAUUUUUAUGUUUUAAUAACUCUAUUUACACAAAAUUUUAUCUAGUAAUUUACCUUGUGAUAGUUCAUUUUCCCCAUAUUCAAUAUUAGAGUCGCAAUUGUCAACAAAUCCAGCCAUCCACGGCGGCUGAAGGCUUAGGCUAGUUGCCAAGUGCCCAAACUUUUUUUUUUUAAUUUUCCUAUUUUUACUUUUUGAGAAUUAUAACUUUUCUACUUUAAUAAUUCUUCUUUUAUCACUUAUCCCCUACAAUUUUUAUAAUACUCCCGUUGCCCUAAACGUCAAAAUUUUUAAUGAACAAUUCAUCCUAAAAUUUUUGUGGAGAAAAGUGACAAUCGCUCUCUUUCUCUAUUUUUUGAGGUAGCAAGUGAAAUGGACAUAGAAUUAAUUUCAUAAAAUCUAAAAAAAAUAAUUGUACGUCACUUUCAUGUGAUAAUUCCAUGUGAUAAUUCAUGCAUCUUACUUUCCACAAGCUGCUUUUUUUUUUUUCAAAUUAAUUUGAGUCAUUUGACUAUCACUUAAGUUGGUAUUACAUGUCAAUCCAGCAUCGCUGUCACAUCAUUCUCUAAAUGUAAAUUAAUUAUUUGUCUUCAGCAAAUUAACAUCAUAUGCAUUAUUUCUCAAAAAUAAAAAAUUAUAUGUAUUAACAUAUAGCUAAUUUUUUUUAAAAAAAAAUUCAUGAAAUAAGGUGAACAAAUUCUGAAAAAUAUUAAUGCAUUCUCCUACAAUCAACUGAAAAUUGCCACCAAUGGCUUCCGUUGGUCCAAUAAGAUUGGAGAAGGUGGAUUUGGCUCCGUUUAUAAGGUAUGUUCAUUCUAUAAUCUUACAUUAAUUACGGUAUAUAUGAUUGUUCCAUUUUUCUUCUUUUUUUUUCCAAAUACUUUUUUAAUGUUUUUUAUUAUUAUUUUAUUGUUAAAAACCGUCUCUAAAAAUAUGCUGUUGAAGGCAUUCUCAAAUUCUCAAAUUACAAUAAAUUAUUUUACAAAUGGGCUUAGACUUAUAUUUUGAAAAAAUAGGCCGAAAGCCUUCUCAUCACAGAUUUCGAACCAUGUUUAUUAGUACAUGUUGUCCUAAUUAUUGAAGCAUGUCAAUACUGGGAAUAUAUAUAUAUAUAUAAGUAUGAAUUGAGUUUAUGGUUCCAAUUCAAAUGACUGUGGUAACACUAGCGUUUUGGUUUUUGAAAAAUGUUAAUAUUUGAUCUUAAAGGGAAGGCUUCAAGAUGGAACAAUAGUUGCUGUGAAAGUGCUUUCGGUGGAAUCCAAGCAAGGAGAGAAAGAAUUCAUGUCAGAAGUAGCUUCCAUGGCCAAUGUAAAUGUUUGUCACGAAAACCUUGUAAAGCUUCAUGGUGGUUGCAUUGACGGGCCUUGUAGAAUUCUUGUUUAUGACUACAUGCCAAACAACAGCCUCUCGCAAACUUUGCUUGGUACGUAUGUAUAUAUCUCCCUAUCUUUGGUGUUGAGGCAUGUCAAUGUUAAAGCUCAUUUUGUAAUCUAACUUAUCUAUCACCGAUCAUUUUAAUGCGUGUUGAGUUUCUGAUUUACAUUUUGCAAUACCCAUCUUUGAAUGAUACGUCAGGUAUGCCGCAUUACUAUUCCAUCAUUAGUGUGUAUAAGUUAAUAAACAAACAUUAUGUGUGCGACAUCAUUUGUCUUAUGAUACAACAUUCGUAUUGUAAUUUUAUAAGAGUGGCAAUAUUUUACUCAUAUGGUUUCUUGAACUAAUUGGCAGGUGAGGAGAAACGUAGAGCUAAAUUUGGCUGGAAGGCAAGGCGAGAAAUUAUCAUGGGAAUUGGUCGGGGACUUGCUUAUAUUCAUGAGGAAAUUCAACCACAUGUUGUCCAUCGAGAUAUCAAAACUAGCAAUAUUCUUUUGGAUCAAAAUUUCAAUCCUAAAAUUUCAGAUUUUGGGCUCUCUAAGCUAUUCCCAGAAAAUACCACUCAUAUUAGUACACGCGUUGCAGGCACACUGUAAGUGCAUCAUAUCUCUCUAGCUAAUUUUACAAAGCUUCAAUCAAAAUAUAUAACUUCAUCAUGAAACUGUAGAUAACAGAGUUAUUUGACCAAAAAAAACAAUAAUUCACUAAAUGUUCAGUUUGUAUUGAGUUAUUAAAACCAUGUACAUUAACUUUUUUUAUUUUUUAUGAUUAUUUUUUUAUUUCUUAAAUAGAGGCUAUCUAGCUCCAGAGUAUGCAAUCAGCGGACGUUUAACUCGAAAAUCAGAUGUUUAUAGUUUUGGAGUGCUACUUCUUGAAAUAGUCAGUGGAAGAACAGCAGUUGAUUUUGAUGUACAACUUGGAGAGUAUCAUCUUGUGGACAAGGUACGAUCAAUUAACAUGAAACUAUAUUCUUAAUGGAUAAUUCAGUUGGUUGUUCUAUUGCGGUGAAAGUAAGAGGUUAAGGAUUUUAAAUCUAAAGAAAUAAUUUUAAUUUAGGAGUGACAUGGGGUUGGGUAGAUAAAAAAAAUAUAUAAAAUGUUACACAGAAAUUAUAUUGAAUUAGUGGUAUUGAUUUUGGUCAAAUUUAAUGUUAAUCUACUGAAAUUGGCAAAGGACCGACAAAUCCGGAAUCCGAUGGAUUCAUCAUCUCUGGUAUAAGAUCUUAUGUUUCUCACAAAUCUGUCGAACCAAAUUAAUCAAAAGUGAGUGAUAGGGUCACUUGUCAAUUAAUCGAAACAAAUUACAAGAAAAUUAAGGGCUAUUAUUUUUAAACUAAUCGAUGACCGUGACAAUGUGUUAACAUAUUGACUAUUUAUAAUAUUAUUUAUGGUAGUUACGUAACUCUAAUUAAUGUCACCUUAAUUGGGAUAAACUUUUUAUUAAAAUAUAUUCGAAUUGCAAAAUAUCUGUGGCUCCAACCAGGCUUGGGGAAUGUACAACUCUAAGGAGCUUAUGAAUCUAGUGGAUCCCAUGCUAUAUGGCAACUUCCCAGAAAAUGAAGCCAUUAGAUUCCUGAAGGUUGGCUUACUAUGCGUACAAGAGAAAUCCAAACUCCGGCCUCAAAUGUCUACGGCGAUCAAGAUGAUGAACGGAGAGACCAACAUCGAUGGUGACGACGUGGAGAUAUCGCAGCCGGGGCUCAUCGGCGAUAUCAUGGACGUGAAAGUAGGCCAGAGAAGCUCCUCGAAAAGCAUGACCGAAAACGGCAGCUAACGGCUGUACCCGUUAUGAGUAUAUAAAACUUUGUGCGUGAUAGAGAUUAGAUAACAAUCACAAAAAAGAAAAAAAUUUGUUAAAAAAUAGAGCAAAGAAAUCAAUGCUUAAAAGUUGUACCUUGCAAAUUAAUACUGGACUCAGACAUGAUUAAUUAAUUAAUGAAGGCAAUUCUCACCAUUUAUUACCAGAAAUUUUCUUCUGUUCUGCCAAUUAUCAUGGGCACUUUGUAUUUUAAUAUUAUACGAACAUAUUUUAAUUUAUUGCUCAUUUUUUUAAUCUUUUUUUCUUUUUUAUAAGAAAAAGUCAGAUUUUGUUCUGAUGAGAAGGUCUCAUAUCUUGACAGUUUUCAACCAUGUAAAAAAAUAACAUGGGUAACUAAUGUAAGAGUCCACGAUUUAAUUCAUACUUUUUAAUUUUCUAAAAACAAAAUUUAUACUUAAAAGUUGAGGGUUAGUUCUUGGACUAGUCUGAGGGCAAUCCUCAACUAUGAGUUUGGGUAACAACACUUAACUCAUAAGUUAAAUUUUAAUAUGAUAGUUUUGGGCCAUGAAUUUUUACAUGGUUUCAUAGUUUAACUCAUACAUUAUGUAAGUUACAAUAACUAGAAAAAAGAAAUUUAGUUUAAGGAGAUUAUCUCACACCAGUUGAAAAUAAAUUGUGCACUGAGUAUAUAAGCAUAGGGCCGGACAACUUAACUCUAGAGCUAUUUUUGAACAUGAAUUUUCCCUUUAAUUUCUAUAUAUGUCUUAAAGCCAUGUUUAGUAUUGAAGUGCUGGAACUUUUAAUUCCACAAUUGUUGUGGAAAAAAAUGAAUUGUAACUAUGAAAUAAAUAUUAAUAUUAUAUAAUAAAUAUAAUUUUUUAAAUAAUAAUUUAGACAAAAAUAAUAAAGAUGUUAUAAAUUUUUUAUUAAAGCAGUAUAAAAAUCAACUUAACUUUCAACGUAUAAUAAUUAGUUUACUACUAAAUUAUAAAUACAAUAACUAAUAUUUAUUAUUGUAACUUGUAACUUUUAAAUUAUAUCUGCACAAUCUCAAUAGCAAUCAAGCCCUAUACUUCAGCUAAAUUAACUGGCAUCUCGAUAAAAGGAACAGUGUUUUCAAGGGCUUGCAUGACCUAUUUGAUCUAGCCAAGAACAUUACAAUACAAAUGCAAUAAAUUAAUUUACAAUGUACAUGUUGUACGAAACUUUUCUGGUCGCUGGUCACACAUCGACUGGCAAAGCCUACAGCCCCGGCCCGAGGGUACAUAAUAAAAAUUAAAUUAUUAUUCAGUGAAGAUUAAUUUUGAGGAGUAUCUGACAUUUGGAGACACUACAUCUUCUACGAUGCAGAAAAAUCUAGUCAAAGCAACUUUAAGAUCAUCAUCUCUUCACUUUAUCUCUCCACCUACAAGUCUAAUUUUCUAGAGGCUGGAAAAGAAGACACAUUUUGUUCCCUAUUUUGGAACAAAGUGGCCUCUUUCUUACCAGAGAAUAUUAGUACCCUCAAACUCAACAAUCAGGCUAUUUCCAGCCUAAUAAAAUACAAAAAGCUAACAGGCAUAUUCAAUAAUUAUUCUCAACACACACACAUAUGAUCUUCCUUAACUACAAAACUGGUGAUGCCCAUUAACCAAGAUAUAGAAUUCUUACCAUGAAUGAAUGGGAGCCAUGCCAACCUAUUCAGAAUAUUAUCACUUAAGUCUUUGUUCUUACAAGAAGCAAGUGUUAUAUUUAUUACUGUAAAUCUCUGAGCUAUACUGAUAAAAAGAAACAAAAUAAUCUGGCUAAACGUUAUCUCCAUUAAGGAAAUAAACGUAAUCCCUGCAGCUUGCAGAUUUUUUUUUCAAAACCUGAAAUCAUUGCAUUAGAAAUCAAAGCGUGCUCAUCAAUUACUAUAAAUAAUAUUAAUUCAGCAAUCUCAAGAAUCAAAGAAUAUGAUCAUUUUCCUUCAUUGGAACAAAGAGAGUAAAAUGGUGGACCCCCCCCAAGUAAUCAAAGCUUUUUCUUUAUAAUACUGUUUAAUUUUUUACUGUUCUAAAUUUUAUUAGGAUUUAAAACCUGUGUUCAGUCAAAAACCAGAGAGAAUGUUUCUAUAGAUUAAGCUUUAAAGCUGGGUCUAUCUGUAGAAAAAAUAAAAAUGAAAAGUGAACAAAAACCAUGCAUAUGUUUGUGAUCUUGAAAAUCUAUUUGAAAUUUCAGGAGAUCUUGAAAGUGUGUAUGGUGUGGUCCCACGGAGCAAGGUUAUAGGGCUAUAAUCAAUAAAUCUUCUGCUUCCCCUGAUCAAAACUUUAUUGACUUGCUUUGACCGUAUGAUGAACAUAUAUUCCCCAAGAGCCAAUCAAAGAGAUAGAUCAGCUGGCUGAUGAUCAGUUCAGUGGUCCAUGCAUGUGUGUGAUUCCCUAGUAAAAAGCUACAAUCAUAAUCAUAAUCCACCACCGCUCGGCGCUCCUUCUCUUUUACUUUCCCCAGAAUAUAUAUAUAAUUCUUUCUUUUUCUUAAUUUCUCAAUCAAAAAUCCCAGAAUAUAUACAUAAUCAUAAUUCCGAUACAUAUCGAUUCAUCUUUUUAUAUUUAAUUAUUACAAAAGAAAGACAGACUCUUGGUUUGCUGCUGUACGGCCAAGGCGGAUGUACGGUACAGCAGACAAAUAAGUNNNNNNNNGGGCGGGGCGGGGGGCUUUGCCCUAUCUAUCACUAUGCAAGUAAUGUUUGCAGAUCAUAUAACCCUAAAGCAUUUUAAUCACUCUUCACUUCAUUAUACCUGAGCAGUGACCUCAUGAUCUGACAAGGAGAAUAGUCUUAAUCAACGGCCUAGAUGAUCAAAGGGAUUAUUAUUAUUUUUUAUUAUGUUAACAAUUCCUCAACUGCUGGACUUGUCCAAAGCCAAGCCAAUAAUUAAUAUGUUAAACAAUGCGUGUUGUGGCCUAAUAUUACUUAAGUUAAUUUUCUGGUUUUUCUUUAGACCUUAAUUUGCGCUUAAAGAUGGAGAGCAUUGAUUAAUAAAUAUGAUUGCAUGUUAAGCAACAGUAGUUGGUAUCAUUAAACAAAUUAAGUUCAAACAAAAGACAAUCUUAAUUUAAUUUUCUCUACACUUCAGACAAAAUCAACCCAUCACAAGCUAGAUUGAUGGGGUUUUUGUUGUCUGAUUAAUUAGAAAACCUGUUGAUACUGAACAUCUAGCUUUAAUUAGGAAAUUUGGCAAAGACACAUGCAAUUAUAUGUUUAAUAACUGCAGUAAACGUGAGUGUGUAAUAAGAUGAUGGAUCAAUAAAAUGGGAAACAUUUAAUUAGCUGAUGAAACUCUUGUGAUGUCAAAUUCAGUGUAAUAUACAAUUCCUCGUUACAGGUGUCAUGGAUAUUAAUUAUGCUUUCACAGAAUGUCUCAUCACUGAAACCCUAAAAUCCAUAAAAGGACUAAUUCGAAAGAAUUAAAGAAGAACAUGAGAGAUUGAUUGUACCUUUUAGGCACAAAGAGUGAACCCUGCAUCUUACAAAAUUACAAUGCUGCCCUUCUCAAGUUGGAAGAAAUGAAAAAAAAAUUAACCUGCAAAAAAAAAUCAAGAAUCCAUAUCUAUGGGUAUAUAUUAUACAUGGAAUAUGCAUGGCUCCUCAUACGCCAUCCACGGAGGCCAUCGAUGUUUCGAUUGACUCUGCAAAUGGCAUACAGGGAGCCAGGCACAUAAUUAUAAAUAUAUAGACAUAGGUAUAAUAUGCAUGAUUUUGUAACUCAUAUAUGCAUGUGUUAACGAAUAUGUGCAUCAAUUAAUGGGAUUCUGAAUGUUUGCAUGGACAAGAAAUGCCUUGUGGUGCUUCAUGAUCAUAAAUAUCCAGAGCUAGAAAAGAUUUAAGUAGAUAAACAGAGAUCUGAGGCAAAUAUUAGGAGCUCAUGAGGUUCAUAAUCAAAUUAAUUGUGGGGUGUUCAAGUUAUUUGAACACAUGCCCUUUGAAAUUGGCAUGAAACAAGCAAAGACAAGAAGCUAAACAUAGGGGAUGAAGGAAGAUAGAAGCUAGGCCAAUUUUUUUUUUGUGGUUUUUUUAAAUUUAUUUUUGUGAGAGAAAGAAGGAAGAUGUGGGGUUGAAGUAAUUGCAACCCCCUCAACCUUUGCCACUAAAUAUAGACACCGCCAAGAGAGAGAGAGAGCGAGAAAAAGAAAUAAAAAAAAAAAAUGGGGAUGUGUUGUGUUUUGUGAGUUGGGCUAGUAACCACGCAGUUUCCUAAGCUAACCUUGUGGUUUGGUGAGCUUUGAAAUCUCCUUUUCUGGGUCGUAAAGCAAAGGUUGCUUUUCUAUUCUGAAGCUCAUUUUUGUCUCCAAGUGUUUGGAAAUAUAUGGAUUCCUCUAUGCCCCCCCUAUCUAUUUUAUUCUUUUUCUUUUCUCAAGUAAAGUAACAAAUAAAGAAUAAUUUUAUCAUAAUUUAUUUCUUUUUAUAUUUCUUUUUCCUGGCUAGCUAGCUCUUUAAUAUCCUUUUUUAACAAUCAUAUUUUAUUACUAAUUCAUUUCAUAUAUUUCUUCUUUGCUUAAGCAAACUAAGUGAGAUUCUCAGCUUCAUCCUUUUCUGUUUAGAUUUUGGAAUAAUCCAUGCUGCUUUGCUACCUAAUUCACCUGCACUACUUCUGUCCAUUCAGCAACCGCCCAUAUUAUUACCACUUGUGUUCAUCUUUUUGCGUGUGUACAUGUAUACAUAUUCUUUUUUUUUUUCCCUCCCUUAAAUAUUUUAAUCACCUCGCUUUAACUACAUUUUCAGUUAUUAGGGUUAGGGCAAGAAUCUAACUUUACAAAAGGAAAUAAUUAUAUAUUUCAUAAGUACCCUUGAUAACUCACAAGAUCAAACCGCGCGCAAACAUCAGAAAAAUUCGAACAAAGUUCAAACGUUUUUCAAAUUGCUUUCAUUUACUGUAAAUAUAAUUGCUACUAGUUCCUUAAAAUAUAAUUUGAAUCCUUUGGAACCUGCUAGACUGCUAGUUAACAAAAGCAUUGCAUUAAAAUUUUAAAAAAAGAAUGGCUACAAUUAAAAAAUUUAGGAUUGGCUAAUUAAUGCUAUUAUUAUUUUUUAGAAAAAAGAAAAUUUUAAAUACUGUUAUUUGGUUUCUUACUAAAAAUGGUAAUUUAGUAGAGUAUAAGAGCAUAUUGAUCUAAAGGUCUAUUGUUUAAUUUUCUUAUGUCUUAAAUUCUUAAAUAGUUUAAUGAGCCAUCUCGUCUGUAUGAUCCAUAUGACAAACCGAAACGAGCCCUACACAAAAUACUUUUGUUGUGGCACCUCAACAAAUCGAACUAAAACAAGCACAGUUAAAAAUGUCUAGUCUUAUAUAUAGCACUGUUGAAGUCCUUUUUUCGAAAAUCAGUUAGGAAAUUCGAGAAAAUUAUGCAAUUGAUUUAGAGAAAAUUAAUAUAUUUGAGUAAAUCAAUUGCAUUUGUUUAUUGAUUUUCCAUCUUCAUCAUAAAAAUUGUCAUAAGAUAUGUCCUGUUAGGUUAUGCAAUAUGCUGUAAGUCUUAGCUUCAGAACUGUGUUAUUUAAUUUAUUAAAAUAAUAAUUAAAUUUAUUUUCACAUAUGAAAAUCAGUCUCAGGAUUAGUCCAUUCCAAUCAAUCCAACUUGCACUUAUGCUGGUUGAGUUUUUAUCAUUAUAAAAAAAUAUAUAUACUUUUUGUGAUUGUCAAAUACAGUCAAAAUAAGUAAAAAGUCAUUGUAAAUGUGUUUUCUCAAUACCUAGGGUAGAAAUAUCUUUUUUUUUUUUCCCAACCAGCCGCCGUAAAUAUGUUUUUUUGGAGCAAAAUUAGCUAUGGAAAAAAGAAUAUGCAUAUAAAAAAAUUAUCCCAACUCAUUGUGCAGGUUGGAUGAAUUAAUUAAGUGUUAAUCGAUCCAUGCUCAGCCUUAAGUAUUAACUCACGUUAGUUAACAACGAUUUAGAAUUGGUUCAAGAAAUUUUGAAUCAAUUAAUCAUUUCUAAUUCGGUUGGAUUUGUUUUGCUGGUUAAGAUUGGUUCAGAUAAUUCUGAACCAAACUAAUCAAAUAUCGCUCACCUCUAAAUUAAGUGUUUUUUUUUUUUUUUCCUUUUCUUAACAAGAGAACUCUAAAUUAAAACUCAAUAUAUAAAUGCUGUAUAGCUUCACUAAUUACUAGACAGUAGGGUUAAUAUAUAGACCCAUUUGGGAACGACCAGCUAACAAAGGAUUUCCAAUAAUGCUUGUAAGUUUAUUUGAUUGUUCUAUCGAUUAGUCAAUUUCAAUUGUAAGAAUCUUUAGCUGUCCAAAUACGGCCACCAAUUGAAUUUUAGGGUUGACAUCAAAACAACAGAACAGGGUGUCAGCCUCGUCUUGUAUGUACCUCACCUUUUGUUUCUUUACAUUUUUCAUCUCUACGUUACUGUUAAAAAUUGUUACCUGGCUGACACAUUUAUUUUUGUUCAUAUUUUGCAAAGGCCAUUGCUAGUUUGCAUGUGAAAUUGUUAUGAUUUUUAUCUUUCAUAAAUGUUUAAUUUUACCUAAUCAUAAUUUUAAUUAGCUGCGCGCUCAUUAUAUCAGUUAUAAGUUGACUCAUCUUAUUAUUUUAAAAUAAAUAAUCUUUUGAUUAUAAAAUGACUAAAACAUGAAUGGGUUAUUUGAUGGUUGAGUGAUUGAUGUCUCAAGGGUAAGAGUUUAAGUUCUCGUAUCUAACUAAUAUCAUUUAUUAUAAAUGAUUAUAAGUACAGUGGAUCUUAUUUUCAUCUAUGCUAAGAAAAUCAUUCAAUUGUACUAUUAUUGUGUCGAUUUAUAAUAUCAUAACUCCUACUUGUAAAAUAUGAGUAGAUUCUAAGAUAAUAUUUUAAAAAUACUAAAUAUAUCUCUAAAUUAAAUUAGUGUUUCGAAGAAGAUUAAAAAAUUAAAAAAAAUUCAUAUGUUCUUAAUUCUAGUUUUUUUGUAAUAGCGAAAACACUUUCAAUCUUACGUUUAUAAUGCAUCAAAUGGAUUUUUAUCAGUUUUUGAAUUUUCUCAUAAACCACUUUUUUCAAAUGAGUAAUGAACAAUUAUCGCGUGUUUUCUUACUCUUAAAUAUUUUUAAUAAAAUUUUAAAAUUGAUUUAGUGUAUUAUUACACACUACGGAUAAUAACGGCGAAUUCCUUAAUUUUGUAUGACGAUGCAAAAAUGUAAAUGUCCUACAUCAUUCUAUCCACUAGCUAAUUUAAUUUAUUCAUUUGACAUUUCAAAUGAUCUGUUUCAUUUUUUGGCUUCCAUUUUUUCUUCAAUUAUUUAGAAAAUGAUAGGCAGUCUACCUAUCACUGCUCCAUGGGGCAUACGGCAACCACACAGAGCUUUCAAAGAAUGCAAUUAGAAAAUUAAUUGUACGUACAAGCAGAUGAUAACGUAUGACUUUGACCCACAUGGCAAGUUGAACAUAAACGCCUUAUGGCUUCUGAACCCUUGUAUUGAGCUUUAUCUAAUACAUAAUUGUAGCAAUUAAAAGACGUUUAUAAUUAUAUUAAUGUGAAAAAAGAUGAACUUUCAUCAGUUACUUACGGUGGGGUGAAAAACUAUAUACAUACUACUUAAAAGAUCGAUGUUAUCUGUGUAUAUAUAGUUUAGUCGCUGGGUGCUAUUGUUAACAUACGUACGUUUCCUUCGUCCUUAAUACGAGAGACUCAUAAUUCUAAUCUUAUAAAUAUUUUAUAAGUGUCUGGUAGUAUGGAUUAUAUAUCAAAUUAUGUUUGGUAAAUCAUUGUGUUAUUCUAUGUUAUAAUUAUAAUGAUUUAGACGUUAGGUAGGCCUUAAUUGUAAUACUAGAAAAUACUAUUAUAUAAAAACUUUAAAAAAAAUACCACUAAAGUUUUAAUUAUCGACAAUAUUUUUUAAUUUACGCCUGGAAUGAAUUAACUGCAAAAUUUUUCAGUUUCCAGGUAUUUUUUAAUAUACACCUGGAAUGAAUUGAAUGUAAAAUAUUUCAAUUUCCAAAUUAUCUUGCAUUCACUUUUAUUUCUAAAUUAAAUCUCUAUAAAUCUAACUUUAAGAUCUAAGAGAAAGUAAUCAAGUCAGUCAAAAAGUAACAUUCAAAAAGAAAAGAGAAAAGUAAACAGUCUUAUGUUGAUCCAAUUGAUGACUCUAGUUGAGUUUAUAUUAUAUACAUAGAUUAAAUUUGAUAGUAAUUUUGUUAGUGCGCCGGUUUGUUUGUUUCUUUCUUUCUAUAUGUUUCUCUUUUUAUUCAGUCAAUCAGUCUCCUACAUAUGGUCCACUAUAUGUGGAAACAUGAAUCACAAUGCUUAUGUAUCAAGCUAUUGCAAAAUUGUAAGCUAGAUUUUAGUGACAAGACAGUUGCUAAUUAGCAAUUUAGCAGGAAUUUAAAUCGAAAGCAUUUCAGUUUUGGAAAGAAUAAUGAUAUAUGUGUAAAGCAAGUAAUCUAACUCAGAAAAUAUUUCAUUAACUUUUUGACAUUUUAAGGGCCCCGAAAAUCCCAAUUAUACUUUUAGAAAAAAAGGAUAGGAGAGAGGGAUUAUAUCUUGUCUAUUACCCUUUUUCAUAUAUACUUGGUGAUUUAAAACCUUUGUUUUUUAAGGUGGAGUACUAUAAUAUCCAAAAUGUUUUUUUUUUCUUGAUAAGGAAUCAUAACCUUCAUUGAUUAAAAAAUUGAAAAAGAUACAUAAAUUUUGCUAGGAAUGUACUCAUCCAAACAUAGAUUCAUCAUACUCUAGAGCUGAUUUAACUAAAGAAUGGACAAUGACAUUUCAAUGUCUAGGAAUAUAUUGAACUCUAAAGUUACAAAAAUCCUUUGCUUAAUCUUGGAUUUCAGAUAUCACCCACUUCCAGUUUUAUUGCCCUUCUUGUUGUUGAAUACAUCAGAAACACCUUGAGAAUAUUCCUUGGAUAUAAAUUUGUACUCAGAGAAAGAUUCAUUGUACAAUUUAUGUGUCUUAUAUUUAAUACUUAAAACUUUUUGGUUUUGGAGAAGCCAAGGGUCUAUUAAUGGCCUAAUGGCUUCUUGCCAAAAGGGUAAGCAGAGACACGGAAAAGCCAGUCCAAAGAAAUGAAAUAUUGAAAGGGAUCUUACUAUCUGCGCGAUUGAGGAGAAUUUCCCUUAAAAACCAUUAUUAAGAAGCUUUGUUAAAAUUAGCCCUAUGCUGCAAUGCAAGGGCAGAAUUAUACUGAGGCUAGAGUCCGUUGGAAUAAACAAUUCAGUAAAUUAGAGACUAAAUUGAAAUUUAUUAGUUCAUUUUUAAACAAUUCUGGAAUUAAGAGACUAAAUCCUGGUUCUGCCAUUGACCAAAUAACGACAUGGUGUUUAACAUACAUGUUAUAGAUUCAUGGGACAUGCGGAUAAUAUCUGUUCUAAUGGCGUAAUGGUGUCCAAAAUUUGGAAUUAGCACAUUAAAGCAGUUAAAUUUUAGUUUCUUGCAUCGCUCUGCUGCUGUUUUUCAGAUAAUUGGUUCGCUGUUUGCUGCAUUACUCGUGAUUUCUAACAAUCUUAAGACAAUAUUGAAGUAAUACGAUUUGCACAAAGGAUUUUUUUUUUUUUACUUCAAAUUAGAACAAACUCAUCUAGGCAAAGACACUAUUUGUCUUCGUGAAUUCUGAGAGCUCAAUGCCACAUCCAUUCUAAAUUUGGAUAUUUCUUUGAAUUAAAAUUUAUGUGAAAGUAAUUUGAACAAAAUUUUCAAUACUAUGCAUUCGAAAUAUAUUUAUUGGGGAUCAGGAUCUUCAAACUAAUUACAAACAUGCUUCCCAAUAAACAUAAUCUCUCUCUCUCUCUCUCUCUAUAUAUAUAUAUAUCAUAUUUUUUUUAAUAGCAAAAAUAAUCGAUGUAAUUAAACACAAUCAUUUUGCUACUAACCGAAUAGAUGUUUAUUGGAACUUGGAGUAUCAUUGGAUGCAUUUCCUUGUUAUUAUGAUCAUAUGUACACUGUAUAUGCUCAAUCAACUGCAUUAUUCAGAGUCUUUUCAUUUAUUGGUGAAUGCAACCAGUCAAGCACAAUCUGACAUGCUCAAAAAUGACACUUCAAUUCAGAAAAUCCUAGCGGCCUCAACACUUGAAUUGAGAUCCUUAGUUUAAAGGGUGCAUGCUUUAAAAUUAAAUAUUUAUAUAAAUUAGGUCUUUACCAUGUACCCUAAAAAUGCUUUAACUUUAAGUCUUUAACCCAACUUGCCCACUUUAAAUUAUUUUAAUCGGAAAGUUAGUAAAAGCCAGAUGCUAAAUUGGAAUAGAACCAACCUUUCGACAUACUUAUUAUAUGCAUAAGACCAUCGCAAAAGUUAACUUCACUCUAUAAAAUAAAGGACAAAUUUAGGUUACGGAGAGAUUAAGCGUGUAAAACAAGCGCAUGCCCUAGGGCACAAUUAAAAAACCAUCUCAUUGAUAAAUGAAACACACAAGAAAACCUGGAGUACAAGAAAGUAAAUUAAAGUAGAAUUAUGGGAGUAUUACUUAAUUAAUAUUCAAAAUUAAUUAAAUUAUAUCUAGACUAGCUAGCCAGAAAGAACCCACCUAUUGCAACCCUUCAAAAGCUACACAAAUAAAAAUGUACUUGAUAUAAAGUUAAAUUUUAAAAAAAUGGGGAAGACUGGAGAGAGAGAGAGAGAGAGAGAGAUUGAUCUUCAUUCUUCCAUGAAAAAUAUAAAAAGGAAAAAAAAAAGAAAAAGGCUGCAAAUUUGGGAAUUGCACUUUCCUUGCAUGGAGAAAAUGGUAAACGAUCAAAGAGAAAAAUGAGAAGAAGCAGCUUAUUAAAAAUGGAAAUAAAGUUAAGCUAUUACAUAUUUUUAUCGUGUAGAGUGCUGGAAAGAACAAGUGUGGGAAUCCUGGUGUCAGAUUAACAUCAUGAUCAUCAUGCAGCAUCGCCUUCUCUUUCUCUUUUAUUAUUAUUAUUUUUUUAGGGCUUUUCCUUCUUGUGUUUGUUUCCAAGUGCACGUCCCAUGGGUACAUCAUUCUCCAACCCCAUCUUUAUUACAUAUUUAACUUGAAUAUAUACAAUAGAGUAAUUAUAGUAAGGAAGUCCCUUAUUUUAUAAGUUAAAAAAUAGACAAAAAAAUUUAAUUUUAAUAUAGUAUAUGAUGUAGGAUGGUUGUGUCUCGCCAAUAGUAUAUCUUUCAUAGGACAUAACUUGAGUUGUAGGUGUUUGUUUUCGGUGCAUAAUAUAUUAUUUCGAAGUCUGCAACGAGACGAAUCAAACUAGAAUCACUUGUGCCAUUUGACCUCAUGGUUGAACUAGAAAUUCUGCUACUUUCUUAGUUUUUUUUUUGUUUUAAAAUAUUUUCUUAUUUUCCUUGUUUCUUCUAGAAUUUUUAUCUUUUUUUUUUUACAAUUCAUAUUUGGACAUCAUUUGUUCUCCUUUUCUUAUUUAAUUAGAAAGUUUUUAUUAUAAAAUAAUAUUUUAAAUUUACCUAUUUUAGUAAACUCACAAUAUUUAGGGUUAUUAUAUAAAGGGAUCAAAACCCUAAUUCAGAAUUAUCCAAUAAACUUUAUUAUUCAAAAUUUUUGUUUCAACUAUCUUCACCCUUUUACAUUUUCGUUUCAUCAGUAUAUUUUAUCUUAUAUCUAUAUUUUCUUUGUACUUUAAUUUCCUUUUUAUUGAAAUUCUUUUAAUUACUCACAAAACAACAUAAUCUAAUAUAAAAUUUGUAAGGCUUUUCUUCUUCUAUACUUUUUCCUCGAAUUGCACAAAAACACGUUGAGGCACGUAUCUAUUAGAGUUAGAAUUAUUAUUUUAUGUGAUGGUGAUGGACUGAUGGUGAUCAAAAACUGCUGCACACUGUCAUGUGCUCUAGCCCUGCAGCACCUCUCUCUCUCUCUCUCCAUCUAAGAAAAGAUAUUAAAAAUUAAUUUAUCUAUCGAUUGAUUUUAAGCUGUGUGUUCAUUUGCUAUAUAAUCAAUUAAUUGAUUGAUUAAUUACACCUCGAAUUUAACCAAAGUUGGCAACAAACAUGUCUUGCUCUCUCCAUUCUAUAUGCCCCCAUAUGGUAUGCAUUUGCUUGCUGCUGCUGGCAGCUGGCUCUAGACUUCCAUAGAGAGAGAGAGAGAGAGAGAGAGAGAGAGAGAGAUCUAUAAAGUAUAAACACACACACGCGUGUGCAAACUGCAAAACCCUAGCUAGCUCUGUGUAGCUUCUGUGCUUUGAUUUAGUUUUCAAGAAAAUAAUAAUGAUAAGAAUAAUUAAAGGUAAAGUGUUGAUCUGAAGAGAGUCGAAGGAAAAUGAAAUGACACACUUUGGAAGUUGGAACUCAACAAAAGGGACCGAGCAAACAGCAGAAGAAUAUCUGAUCAACAAAAAAUGUCGAUAUAUAUAUCAAGAAAGGUAACUCAACGUGAGGCCCAGCUGUCACUUGAUUCAGAGGAAAAAUCAUCAUUAUGUAACACAUAAUUUUGUUCUUAUUGGGCUAAACAUUAACACAAAUUAGAAGAAUUAGGGUUUAGGAAUUAGGAGCAGCCAGAGAACUUUAAUUUUGGGCAGAAUUGCUAGAGAUCAUUUCUCUGGGAUUUUAGAUGGGCUUAAAUUAAAUCAAUAUUUAUGACAAAUUAUAAUUAGACGGUUUUGUAAUUCUGAUGAUGAUCGAGAGUUUUUCCUUAAUUAUUUUGGGAGUGGUGAUAGAAAUAAACUUAGUUCUUAAUUAAGAGUAAGAAAACACUAUAAUUUCGAAAAACCGGUCAAUAAAAUCUUACAAGUAGGAUUAGUGUCUCGUGUUAGUGCUAAUUUCAAGUUUCAAGUUUCAUACUUGAAUUCAUGUGUCAAGAAAGUCGUCUGGGUAAUAACUUAAUAGUUCGCAGUUUAACCAAAUAAGUUUCUGCAAAUAAAGAAAAAGAAUACAAUAUAAAAAAUAUUUUGUAUCGUUAAACUUUUAUAAACUUAGAAAAAUAAAAGUUAUUUAAGUUCUUUAUAAAAUGCUUUAAAGGUUAAUUUUACAAAAAGUAAAAAAA
rnacentral:lncRNA from 1 species